rnacentral:lncRNA from 1 species
UUAUGCUUGCUCCAAAGAUUUCAAGUUAUUUAAAUGGAUGUGAAAAGUGUUUUCCUUAAUGGACAUUUUAAUGAGGAAGUGUAUGUUUCACAACCUCCCAAUUUUGAAAAUCAUGAGUAUCCUAAUCAUGUUUAUAAACUAAAUAGAGCUUUGUAUGGCAUCAAACAAGCCCUUAGGGCUUGUUAUGAAUGACUUAUUAAGUUCUUAAUCGAUCAAGGAUACUCUAGAGGGAAGGUACAUACUACAAUUUUCAUUAAACGUCAAGGAAAACAUACUUUUAUAGUUUAAGUUUAUGUUGAUGAUAUUUGGUUCCACUAACAUGCAAUUAGUCAAGGAGUUUUCUAAUCUAAUGCAUGGUGAGUUUGAGAUGAGUCUCAUGGGGGAGUUAAACUACUUUCUCGGUCUUCAAAUCAAGCAACUCAACAAAGGGACGUUUGUGUGUCAUAUAAAAUAUUGCAAUAAAUUGAUAAACAAAUUUGCUAUGGAAGAUGCAAAAUCAAUUGAAACUCCAAUGCCCAUAAAUAGAAACUUGAAAAAAGAUUAAAAUGGUAAGGAUGUUGAUGUCAAGAAGUAUAGAGGUAUGAUUGGAUCUCUCCUAUAUCUCACUUUAUCUAGUCCAGACAUGAUGUUUAGCAUUUGUAUGUGCGCUCGUUAUCAAUCGGCUCCUAAAGAAUCGCAUUUAAAAGCCGUAAAGCGCAUCCUUAGAUACCUUCAUGGUAAAUCUAAGUAUGGCCUUUGGUAUUCCAAGGGAAGCGAUUGUAAUUUGUUUGGUUAUACUGAUUCCGAUUUUUCUGGUUGCAAAUUGGAUAGGAAAAGUACUAGUGGAACUUGCCAUAUGUUUUCAAACUCCUUAGUAAGUUGGUAUAGCAAGAAACAGGUUUUUGUUGAUUUGUCGAUUGCCGGGGCGGAAUAUGUCACAGAUGGUAGUUGUUGUGCUCAAAUUUUGUGGCUCAAAUAAUAACUACUUUAUUUUGAUAUUAAAUAACAACAUACUCCAAUUAUGUUUGACAACAUUAGUGCUAUUAGUCUAACCAAAAAUUCGGUGUUACACUCUCUCACUAAACAUAUUGAGAUACGUCACGACUUCCUAUGUGACCAUGUUGAAAAGGGAGAUGUUGUAUUUGAGCAUGUUAAUAGCAAAAAUCAACUUGCAGAUAUCUUUACAAGACUUCUUGCGACCGAACCGUUUUUCAACUUCGAAUGGAAUUAGGCAUACUUGAUAUCUCAAAUCUUGCCUAAAUAUGAUUUGUUGCAUGCAAUUUAUAUACUUUUCUCUAACUUUUGUUGGAAGUUCAAUCAUAUACGAGUUCAUCUUUAUCAAUUCAUACGCGAGGUAAUAUUGUUUCAUUUUCUCUCUUUGAAAGUAAGCCUUUUACUUUUGCAUGUUGUCUAUGUCCCAAAUGCUUGAUAUGCUUGAUAUAUGAAAUAUUUCAUGAAUGUUCACUUCCAAAAUUUAAAUUAAUGUAUUUCAAUUUAUAUGCGUAUAGUGACUUCAUGUUAUUCUUCUUCCAUACUUGAAAUAUGUUCUUUGUGUAUAGGCAUGUUAUAUAUCAUUAGUUCUUGCAUGAUAUAUGUGAGGUUAUUGUUUAUCUAUUCUGGCAUGAAAUAUGUUUGAACAUGUUCUAAUUUCAAUAAAAUUAUUGUAGUAUGUCAUUAUUAUGAUAACAUUUCUAUUUUUGGUUUGAGUGGUGAUAAAUCUAAAUAAUCGUCUUACUAGAGCACAUGCAUGUGAAUCAUUCGGGGGUGCCAAAAGUAUAUGUCACAUAAAUGUGUCGCUUUUGAAGUAACUCAAGAGUUUUUUACUACAUUGUGUCCUUCAUUUUUCAUGUUUAUUAUAUAUGUUAUUUGACAUGAUUUGUGGCAACUAUGUCAUAUUGUUGUUUAAAUUACUUUUAUUUAUGUUUAGUCAUUUUUAAUAUUUACAUCAUUUUAUGUGAAUGUUCUUUUACUGAUGAGUUUAUCUUUGCAAACAACCUUUGCAUAUUAUAUUAGUAUAUGUGUGAUAAGAUACUUCUCAUAUAUUGAUUUGUCUCUUUUUUAUGUUGUCAAAGGGGAAGAAGCAUCUUCAAGAUGAAGUUGGGAUGCAUACAUUCAGAGGGAGCCUUCAUUAAGACACGAAAUACAUCGUCUCAAGUUUUGCCAUCAUAAAAAAGGGGGAGUAUGUGAGUGCAACUUCCUGUUAGAUGUAUUUUGUAUGAUAUAAAAACUAGGAUACUUUAGUGUUUAUGUUUAUUGGACGGUAUUCUUUUGAGUCUAAAUGCGCAUCUUAGUAUUAGGAAACUUAGGAAUACUUUAGAAAAGGUUUCAUGCAUUUAGAAAAGUUUUCAUGCAAUAAAAAUAGGUUUUUAUGUGAAACAUGUUUAUGUGUCGACACAUACAUACUAUGAGUCGACACAUAUGGAUCACUUUUAAAGGUUGUAGCUUCUGUAAUACAUGAGUUGACACAAAAAGCAUUUCAGGUCAAUAUAUAGAAGAAAAAAUUCUUCUAUGAGUCGACACAUACGAGUUAUGAGUUGACACGUGUACUUCAAUUUUAAAGCUUGUAGCCUAUGUUUGAUGUACCGACUGUGGAGGGGUUUCAGGUUGACACAUAGAAUAAAAUUUUCUCCUAUGAGUCGACACAUGCUUCGAAUGUGUCGACACAUGACGUACAUAGAUCGACACAUACGAUGCAUUUUUCCAAAAAUUAAUGAUUUUCCCAAAUCUUUUGCAUUCCUUUUGCCUCAAACUUGCAUACAUAUAAACACUUCAAACAUGUAUCAUUUCGUGGUGGUGGAAAACCAUAGACAAAACCAGGAAUAUACAAAGAGUUCUCUUCAUCUUUAACCUAUGUUCUAUGCAUACACACAAACAAAUUACACAUAAUCAUUUUUUGUUUAGGUGUCAUCUAGAAUUAGAGUUGAUAACAUCCAAUUUAGGUUGUUGAAUUGUAAAUUUGAUUGAGAGUCUUUCGGGUUUCAAAUAAGAAAACCAUGUUGGGGUUUUCCUUCAAGAUCAAUCAGUGAUUAGAAGGUUUUGGACAAGAUUACACAAGUUGGAUUCGAUUGAGUGAAAGCUUUGAAGAACGGGGUUUCUUGCAAAUGAAUAGCGUGAGACGGUGGAUCAUCUUGGUAAAUAUUAGGUGACAACAAUUUGCAAUUUGUAUUUUAUCGAGUAAAGCUUUGAAGAAUAGGGAUUCUUGCAAAGGAGUUGUGUGAGACGGUGGAUCAAAUUGGUAUUAUCUGGUGACUUGAUUAAGCUCAUAUCAAGGGAAGAGAAAGUGUUAGAAUCAACAUCUUGUGGGGUUGUAUUGCUACAUUUCUCUUGUAAAACUAUAAUUACAAAGUUUACUUUUCAUUUUCUCAAUUUGAGUUCGAAUUUAGGGCAGACGUACCCAUAGCGAGGUCGAUUUGUGAACUUCCAAAACAAAUUCUUGUGUACUUUCUCUCUCUCUCUCUCUCUCUCUAUAUAUAUAUAUAUAUUUACUUUUCAUUUGCAAAUUGUUGAAUUCGUUGAUUGUGUGAUCAGUAUGUUUGGUUGAACUUUUUGAUAACCUUUUGAAAAAGGUUUUGUUGAGUUGAUCAUAAUCCAUUUAAUUAUGAUUAGAUUUUAAAAUCAACAAAACAAUACAAAUUUCUAAACAAAAUUGACUGCACACAAGGUGUUCGAUAAUUUGCCUCAAUUACGUUUUUGUGUAUUUUGUCAUUGGAAAUAGACUUCACUUUUAUUGUAGCAUUCAAGUGAUUGUUGUUAAAAGUAUAUUGAUCAAUUUGUUCUCAUUAUCAUAACUUGAUUAUAUAUACGCAUAUAUGGGCUUUUCGAUAGCGGUUUGAUUUAGACGAUUCGAUCCAGGUAACUUCAGCUAGCCGUUAAAUUUUUCAAAACAGUUUUUUGUAAAGUUUUAUCAACUUAGGGUUUAUUCACCUCCCUCUAGAUAAGUCACCUUCAUCUAACAAAACUGACCCAAAACAUCAGCUCUUGUCUGAUGAGAUGCGUUGUCCUGAGCCAAGGCAUGUUUGAAUCAUAGGACAAUUAUGAGUAGAAUGAGAUCAAACUUAACCAAGAGAUCAAUCAGCUGAAGGAACAACAGAAGAUGCAUGUGGAUAAAAUAUCUAACCUAGCGAAAUAAUUGCUAGAGGAGAAGACAAAGAGGGAAAAGUUGGUGGCUAAGAGUCAAGAAUUACAAUCCACUGUCACCAAUCAAUCCGAGUAUACAAAAUUAACUCGAGAAUCAAAUGACCAACUAUAUAAAGCCUUGAAGAAAUAUCAAAUACAUGUUCUUGAUGCAGGAGAUAAUGCUUUUGAUAGGGCAAAGACUCAAGUCUUAUGCCUCCACCCCGGGCUUGAUUUGUUAGAGAUAGACUUUUUCAAAGUUGUGGUGGAUGGCCGCCUCAUGGAUAUGGAAGAAACUGAGCCUUCUCUCGCUGAUGAUUUAACCAAGGAAGACUAUGCUGAUGACACUAACCUCAGAGUUGUUGAUAAGGAUAAUAAUGAAGAAUAAUCUUGUUUCUAUUCCCUUUUUUGUUAGUCAUACAUUAAGAUGUGUUUUGUAAUGUUUUUAAAAAUGUUGUCUGCUUUCCCUUUCUGUUUUUCAUUUGUAUCCUGCUGUGUUCUAUAACAUCUAUGACAAUCUUGUAUCUUGUUUCGUGUUACUGGUUAUCUCAUUUUCAUAAUUUAUCUUUAUAAUUGGUUUUCUGAAGUGUUUCCUUAUAGAAGCCCCAAGUGCUAAAAAUAAAUUUUUAAACAUAAGUGGCCCAGUCAAACCCACUCCCCAACUAAGGGCAGGGCUAUGGUAAGUCAAUUCAGAUAUUUCUAGUUUGGUAGACCACUCGGGUACCUCUACGAGGCAUGGCCACGAUGAUAAUAUAACUCAGAGCACUUAUAAAACCUGUAAAUUAACAAACCAAAGACCCAGACCAUGAUAAGCAUAUCUCGACCAAGGGUUUCUCUUUAUAAUUCAUUCAGACCCAGUUUUUCCAGAGGCUUCUAUUAACUUAAGCUUCAGUUAAGCCAUGAGUUUCAAUUAACUUAGCCCGGCUGCAGCCGAUUAUGCUAGAGGUUUGAAUUACAUGGACUUCAGUUAGCCAAGAGGUUUUAAUUAACUUAACCCGACCGCAACCGAUUAUGCCAGAGGUUUCAAUUAACUUGGACUUUAGUUAGGCCAGAGGUUUUAAUAAACUUAGCUUGGCCACAGCCAAUUAUUCCAGAGGUUUCAAUUAACUUGGACUUCAGUUAAGUCAUAUGUUUCAAUUAACUCAUCCUGGCCGCAACCAAUUAUGCCAGAGGUUUCUAUUAACUUGGACUUCAGUUAGGCUAGAAGUUUCAAUUAACUUAGCUCGGCCACAAUCGAUUAUGUGGAAAGUUCUCGGCCUUUGGAUUAUUACUCACCGGCUCCAGGCUUAAUCACAUAUCAUUUCUUAUGAUCAUUUUGCCUACUUUAUAAAUUUACAAUACAAUUGUUUUAACUAUGGGUUCCUCAUUAAACACAUUUGUCCUUGCAAUGGAAAAAGUGCAUUCCCUGAAUUUUAUUCAUGAUGUUUAUUACAUAUUUUAGCUAAAAUAAAACUUAAGGUUUGUUAAAUUCCAAGCCCUAGGUAUUUCAACACCCUCUAAACUUUCUAACUUAUAAGCCCUGUUAGACAAGUUCUGACGGAUACAAAAAGGUCCUUCCCAAUUUGGAGCUAGCUUGCCUCUCUUCUUUAAGUCAAUCACCUUUUUCAACACCAGAUCUCCUUUGUGAAAUCCUUUUUGCCUUACUUUGAUAUUAAAUCUCAUGGAAAUUCUUUGUUUGGCUGCGAACUACCUUAUGUAGGUUAUUUCCCUGACUUCAUCCAAUAGAUCUACAAAAUUUUCCAGACCGUCUGAGUUGGCAUUCUUAUCAAAAGCAAUACGCCUCCAAGUCGGAGUAUUGAUUUCUACUGGUAUCAUUGCAUCAACUCCAUAAAUCAUCCUGAAGGGGUUUUUUUGAGUAGUCGAAUGAGGUGUAGUAUAAUGAGACUAUAAGAUCUCGUCCAAAUACUCAGUUCAUAACCCCUUAGAUUUAUCCAAUUUCUUUUUCAUCCCAAAUAGAAUGAUCAUAUUUGUUGUCUCUGCCUGGCCAUUUGCUUGAGGAUGCUCCACUGAAACAAAUUGAUUUUGUAUCCCUAAAUCCUUACAAAAUUCUACUAUUGAUGAACUAGCAAAUUGUGUAUCGUUAUCUGAAACAAUGAUCCCGGGAAGGCCGAAACGACAUAUUAUGUUUCUCUAGUAUAAAUGGAAUACCCUUUCAGUUGUUAUAUGUGCCAUUUCUUUUGCCUUCACCCAUUUAGUGAAGUAAUCAACAACUACUAUCAAGAACUUCAGUUGUCCAACUGUAAAGGGAAAUGGGCCAAAAAUGUUUUACCCCACUGAUAAAACAGCCAUGGUGAAAAUACUGAAUGCAAUAAUUAUGAAAGAGAGUGGAUGAAGGGAGCGAACACUUGACAAUUCUCACACCGACUUACAAAAUAUGCACAAUCUUAAAGCAUACUCAUCCAGUAAUACCGUGCUCUAAGUAUUUUUUCGACAACACUCUUCCUCCAAUGUGACUCCCACAUACCCCUUUGUGGACUUCUUUCAUGACCAGCAAGGUAUCUUCUUCUAAAAUUCAUUUUAACAUAGGAGAUGAUCCUCACAUCUUAUAUAAUUGAUCAACAACGAUGAGGUAUCUAGCAGAUAUCCUUUUAAUGCACCUAGCCACAAUCUCUUCUUCUGGUAGCUCAUUUUGGGGUCAAAUACCGAAUAAUAGGUACCAUCCAGCCCCUUGCAUUAUCCAAUGUCAUAACUUCCUCAACCUCCAUACUCAGUGCUUCUAGGGUCUCUUGAAUCAUCGUCUUAUUUAAAUAGGAACCUUUGGUGCUCGUUAACCAGGCUAAGAGGUUGACUCUGACAUUCUCCUCCCUGGGAAUGUGGUUUACCUAAAAUUCCACAAACAUCAGAGACAUCUUGAGAGCUUCUUGCAAGUAUAUGACUAACGAUGGAUCCUUCAUCUGAAACUCUCCUCUAUCCUGGUUGGCGAUUAGUUGAGAGUCAGUUUGAGUAAGAAAGUGUGUUACUCCAACCUCAUUUGCCAACCUUAUUCCUGCAAUCAAAGCUUCGUACUUCGCCUGGUUAUAGCUAGCCUAAAAAUUAAAACACAAAGAAUAUUCUAAGACCAGGUCACCCGGGCCCUCCAAUACUAUCCCAACUCCACUUCCUUUAAGAUUAGAGGAUCCAUUCAAAUGUAUAGUCCAUCUGCAUGAUAACUCUUCUGAGGCCAGAGCACUCAACUGAACUAGGAAAUCAACAAGCACUUGAGAUUUGAUGUUACUCAGAGGCAUAAAUUCUAUAUCAUACUCUAACAAUUAUGCUGCCCAUGCCACCAUUCUUCCUGCCAAGUCUGGUUUCUUCAAGACCUUCUUGAUAGGGUAAUUGGUUUUGACAAUGAUAGGGUAUCCUUAGAAGUAGUAUCUCAACUUCCGAGUUGUAACCACUACUUCCAAUGCAAGACACUCAAUCUUCUGAUAAUGCAAUUUCGCUCCUCUUGGCACCUUACUAACAAAAUAUAUUGGUUUCUCUCCUUCCUCCAUCUCUUGGACCAAUAAGGAACUCAUAGCCUUGUUUAAAGCAGCUGGGUACAGGAUGAUAGGCUGGUUCUCCUUUGGUCGUAUCAAGAUGGGAGGUGCAGAUAGAAAACAUUUUACUUCUUUAAAAGCAUCUGCAAUUCUUCCGUCCACUGGAACUUCGCCGACUUCUUCACCGUAGCGAAGAAAUGAAUUGACUUGUCUCCUGCACAAGACAAGAAGCGAGAUAACGUGGCUAAACGUCCUGUCAAUUGUUGUACCUCUUUUAAUGUUGAUGGACUUCUCAUAUCAAUGAUUGUUUGAAAUUUAUCUGGGUUUGCUUCUAUUCUCGGGUUGGUCGACAUAAACCCAAGGAAUUUCCCGGCUUGUACCCCGAACUUGCACUUGUCCGGGUUAAGCCUCAUGUUUUUUCGGUUUUUCGGGGUUUUGAUCACCAUAUCAUCCACUUAUACCUCAAGGCUCCACCCUAUUUGUGAAGUGAAUACCACUUCUAUCAGUUUUUGGUAAGUAGCCCCUACAUUUUUGAGUCUGAAAGGCAUCACCUCAUAAAAAUGAUUAUUCAUGCUCGCCAUGAAUGUCGUCUUGGGAGAAUCCAAUUGAUUCAUUGUAUCUUAUUGUAACCCAAGUAAGCAUCCAUGAAGAUGAGAAGACGGAAUUCUGAAGCCCCAUCAAUGACUCGAUCAAUUUGAGGAAAUAGAUAAGGAUCUUUCGGACAUGCCUUAUUCAAGUCAGUGAAAUCCUGCACAUUCACCAAUUUCCCGAUUUCUUUUUUACCAUGACUAUAUUAGCCAUCCAGGUCAAGUACUUAAUUUCCUGAAUGAAACUGGCCUUCACAAGCUUUUCGACUUCAUUUUCUAUCACUAUUAUCUUAUUAUCUCUAUCCUUCUACUUUCUAUGAGGCAUGGGCUUGGUGGUUGGAUCCAACACCAAAUGAUGGAAAACUAUGCUUGGAUCGAUUUCGGGCAUGUAAGUUGGUUUCCAUGCAAACAGAUUUAUGUUCUCCUUCAAUAUUAGUAUAAUCUUGACAUCCUCCUUCAGAGAUAAAUUAGAACUAAUUUGAGUCAUAUGGGAUAUUUGGGCACCAAUUUAUACCUUCUUCACAUGCUCGAUGGGUGUUAGACUAUCUUCCACCAGGUCUUCUCUUGGAUUGAUAUCAACUAGAUUCACCUUUAAAUGAUCACCUUUUAUUGGCUCAUCAGCUUGAGCUUUCUUUUUUAGCUUUAAACUAUCUUUAUAACAUUUCCUUGCUAAUUGAACAGUCACCAUUUAUGUUAUAGUUAUUAUCAUUUUAACAGGUUAAAGUAGGCGAGUUAUUUGCAUUUUUCAUAUAAUUUUGGUGGUUUUUACACCUUCUGUUACCGUUAAUGUCAUUUAAUCGUUUCACUGUUUUUCAUCAAUUUAUUUCCAUUUUCUGUAUUUUAUGCUUGGGUUGUGUGUUUUCACUAUUUUUCAGGUUCAAACAGGUAUUCAAGUAAGAUCGAAUGCAUAAACCAAGGAGACGCGCAAAGAAUCGGAAAAGUGAUCCCAUGCUCUAGUAGGCCUGCUACGGCCACCCGUAGCACCUACUACAGGUCGUAGCAGAGAGGCGUGAACUAGAAGCCAAGGCCAUCCAAAACAGGGGGCCAAUAUGACCACUCAUAGUACCUACUAUGGGCCGUAGUGGAAGGUCUAGAACAAAGCCAGAUUUCACAAAGAUAAUGGCCUGCUAUGGCCACCCAUAGCACCUGCUACAGGACGUAGCAGGGGGGGCUAGACGAGAACAUAAAAGACAGGGGCCUACUAUGGGUCGUAGCAGGCAUGCGUGCAAAAACCAGAUAUUUCCUUUGUUUUUGCUAAUUUUGAGCUGUAACACCUCAAAAUUUGCCCUCCUCUUCUUGGGACUAGUUUGACACAUUGCAUUUUAUGUUUUAGGACAUUAGGCAUUGCAUUUUUGCAUAUCAUAUGGAAAUAAGAAGAUCAUCCUCCAAAGUCUUUUCAGAAGAUGGGAAGUUACAUGAUUCAAGCUUGAGGGUCUCUAUGAAUUGAUGAUCAACCAUCUGAGGGUUUGCACUUCAAUUAGGGUUUCCUGAUUCUUCUAAGGUCUUGAGCAUCAUCUUGUUUGCAAGGGUAUAUCACCAUCAUCAUGAUUCUAUCAUCAUCCAGGGUUUCAUGAUUCAUGCUCAGAUUCCUUUGGAUUAGGGUUUUGACCUAUGAUCAACCCUAAUCAAUGCCUUUCUUCCAGCCAGGGUUUCUCAAAGAGAUGGGGUAUUUUUAUGGGAUGAAGAUCACAUGGUCAUAUUAAGGAGCUUACAUGAGCUAGGGUUUCAUUUUUGAGCAUUUUCCCCAAGUGGUAGAGGCUCAAGCUGAUUAGGGCAUGUCAAGGUCAUCUGAGGAUCAACAAGUCAACUGUGCAAGAGCUGAGGGCUUUGAGUUGGGGAGGUGAAUUUAAACACCUCAUUCAUGUUCAAAUAAAGUCCAUUUGUCAUUUCAAACACCUAUCUUGAAGAUUUUGAAGACAUGGCAAAAGUUUCCAAAAAUGGAAAGUGACCUGUAAUUAAAAGUUUCCAAAAAUGACAAGUUUUUGAUCCACAUUCAACUUGACUUUCCAACAUCAAAGAAGCUUCAACUGGAUUUUUGGUGAACAUGAAAGUUGAAUAUUUUUCUCUCCCCUUUUCAAAAAGUCCUAUUUCAUGAUCAUCUGAUGAUUGGUUGAGAAGUUAUGGCCAAAUGAUCACAAAGUGUACAUGGAAUUUCAAAGUGGCAUAACUUUUAAUUCAAAACUCCAAAUUGGUCCACUCUUUUUGCAAAAUGCUUGUCAUGACCAAUAAUUUCCAAAUGAAUCUUUUCCUUGCAUGGAAAAAGAUCACAUGACCACUUGUUCACACAUAUGCAUUUUGGAGGGAAAAUUGAUAAUUCAAAUUUGGUUGAUCAUACAAAUAAAAUACCACUUCCAUUGUGUUUAUUGGUUGGUUUUAAGUGAAUCCAAAAUUUGGUUGAUCAUACAAAUAAAAUACCACUUCCAUUGUGUUUAUUGGUUGGUUUUAAGUGAAUCCAAGCUUUUGCAUGGGAAACUCACGUGUUGCAUGGGCAUAAUGGUGCAUUAUUCAUUUUUUUGCAAAUACUCCAUAUUUCACUAAUCUUGUUUAACCAUUGCCUAAUCCUAAUUUCAGCAUGAUUAACACCUCAUAUAAAAGCUAAACCAUAACUGAAUUUGCUCAUAACUAACUUUUGAGAUCUAGUAUUUUCAUUUCCCUCCAAUUUUUCUCUCACUUGGAUUUUCAUUUUUCUUCACACAAACACCUAAUAUUUUCUGAGAUUCUUAAUCCUCAUGGAAUUCUGAGCAGGAAUCAACCAUUAUUUGUUGGAAUUGAGCAAGAAUUGGAGUAGUUCAAGUGCAACCUCAUGUUAAUGGAAGCUUGAAAUUCAGUUGGAUCUAAGAGGUUUCAGUGGAUUUUUUUGUACACAAAGCUUCGAAGCAAGUAUAGAGGAGAAGAUCUGGAAGUUCUGGAAGCUUGAACACACGGUUUUUGAUCACUACACUUCAAGUAAGUGAAAAUUCGAUCUCUCUCUUUUGCCAAUUUCUUGUGAUAAUCGUAUAGAUCUUGCUUAGGUGAUCAUGCUGAUAUGUUUAGAAUUGGUUUUGGUAAAGAAAUUAGGAAGUUAUGUUGAAUAUAAGUUUGGAUCUCAAAACUUCUUUGCCUUGAUCCGUGAAAUCUAGAGAGAAUUGGGAGAUUUGGAUUGUAGAUUUGGCUUCCUUGUGAGAAGAUCUUUCGAACCAUGUAAGAUUCGUCCAUUUCUGGAAAAAUCCACGGCGGCGCUCCGCCUGGUUGGCCGGAGAAGACGGCUGUUACUGUCGUCCGCCACCGUCUGGUUCAGGCUAUGGUUUGCGUCUUAAAACGCAGCAUUUUGGCAAGCGCUUUUAACCUGGCCUAGCGCGAGUUCGAUACUCCACUUUUGCAUUUUCAGAAUUCCAUUUGUUUUCUCCCUGGAGCGCCAUUGACCUUGCGCGCAUCAGUUCGAUUCCGUGCCAUGCAGUUUUCAGAAUUUUAAUUGAGCGCUCAUUUUUACCUGGCACGCGUGAGUUCAAUACCUGGCUGAGGCAUAUUCUGAGUUUUAUUUGAAUUUCAUUUUUCUUCCAUUAUCUCAUAUUAAUUCAAUUAUUUUCUUCAACUUUGAAAAAUCACAAAAAAUAGUAAAAAUGUCCAAAUUGAUCCCAAUUUUUUUUCCACAUUCUUGUUUUGUUGUCUAGUAUUUUUUCAUAUGAUUUUCAUGAUUUGUUGAUUUCUGGAUUUUUAUUUGAUAUUUUUUGAUUGAGCAUUGUGUCAUUUGGAUAUGUUGCAUUCAUUUGCUUGUGAAAUCUCCAUUGUUGAUCCAAUUGAUCUGAAAUUUGGUGUGCUUGAUCCUCACAUGUGACAUGAUUUUUGAGCUUUGGUUUGGGAUUUUUAUCAUAUGCCAUCACUGUUUUGGACACAUGAAAUGUAGUGUGACAAUUUGUGUCACAUUUUGGAUGUAGCACUUGUGCAUUUUUAUUCAUCUAUCAUUUGAGCUCUUUUGGAUCUAAUUUUUUUGCAAUUAUUCUUGUUCAUAACAUGUGGAAUUCACAUAAAAAUUCAAGACCAUUGGAUGUGUUUCUGUUUUGAUUUGGAUUUUCUAACUUGGAUGUCCAAUUUGUGUACCUUGCUUGCGCUUGCUCAUGAAUUGUUUGAAGCACUUGCAUUAUGAAUUGAUCUUGGUCCUUUUGAGGACAUCUUGUUGAUUUUUUAAAUGUGUAUUAUGCAAAAGAUUGACUUCUGUUUUGAUCAUUUGGUUUGGUUUUGGACCUAGUCUUUGCACUAGUGUUUUUGUACAUACUAAUUGUGCUUUGUGUUUCAGGUUUGGACAUUAGCCUUGAUGAUUGGUUUGGUCUCACCUUGUGAGAUGCAAAUACCUUUGAAUACUAACUAUGAUUGUUUUGUAGGUCAAUGGAUGGUGAUGAACUCAUUUGAGUGCUUGCAUUUGUGCCUUGCAUUGAGUUGUAAAUAUUGGAAAGUUCCACUGUUUGUCUGUUGGUUUUCUGAUUGAGAUAUUAACUGUUUAAGCUUUUGUACAGGUACAUUAGUUGCUUGCUAGCUAGCUUUUGCUUAAGCUUUGGAGUGUGGUUGAUACACCACUGAGGUAGUUUAGCCUUCUUACUCCAUGUAGUCUGGAAGUCUUGUCACUUUUUUGGCAGGCAUUUGGCUGAAGUCCUCCUUAUGAGGCUCUGAUUGUGAUUGUUUACAUUUGUGCCAAAGACCUCCAAAUGAGGCAUGUCACUUGAUAAGUCCUCCUAAGUGAAGAGGAAAUUGACAGAUAGAAGGGAUUAGCAAUCAAUCCCCUGUUAUUCAGUGAGUCGUUCAUUAUGCUCGCACUACGUGCUGAUGCUCUUGAACAAUGUACCCAAGAUCUUUGUAUAGAGUCGGUCAAGUGGAGCAGGGUCCCUCUUUCUUGAUCCCCACGCUUCCAUUGAUUUGAGCUCACCCAGGCCAGGGUUAAGAGCAUGAGGUCUAAUCCUCAUUAUCAUCUUUGAUCAGCUUCACCCUAACUCUCAAUGUUAGUGGUUAAGAGCUUCAGAACACCCCUACAGUUUUGGCUUGUUUGUCGAGGUUGAUAUGACCCCUCUUGACUAAAGCCCAACCAUUUGUCUGAGCCUCUUGUUUGUAUAUAGAGUGUNCUUUUUUAGCUUUAAACUAUCUUUAUAACAUUUCCUUGCUAUAUGAACAGUCACCAUUUAUGUUAUAGUUAUUAUCAUUUUAACAGGUUAAAGUAGGCGAGUUAUUUGCAUUUUUCAUAUAUUUUGGUGGUUUUUACACCUUCUGUUACCGUUAAUGUCAUUAAUCGUUUCACUGUUUUUCAUCAAUUUAUUUCCAUUUUCUGUAUUUUAUGCUUGGGUUGUGUGUUUUCACUAUUUUUUCAGGUUCAAACAGGUAUUCAAGUAAGAUCGAAUGCAUAAACCAAGGAGACGCGCCAAAGAAUCGGAAAAGUGAUCCCUGCUCUAGUAGGCCUGCUACGGCGCACCCGUAGCACCCACUACAGUCGUAGCAGAGAGGCGUGAACUAGAAGCCAAGGGCAUCCAAACAGGGGGCCAAUAUGACCACUCAUAGUAACUACUAUGGGCGUAGUGAGAGGUCUAGAACAAAGCAGAUUUCACAAAGAUAAUGGCCUGCUAUGCCACCCAUGCACCUGCUACAGGACGUAGCAGGGGGGGCUAGACGAGAACAUAAAAGACAGGGGCCUACUAUGGGUCGUAGCAGGCAUGCGUGCAAAAACCAGAUAUUUCCUUUGUUUUUGUAUUUUGAGCUGUAACACCUCAAAUUUGCCCUCUCUUCUUGGGACUAGUUUGACACAUUGCAUUUUUAUGUUUUAGGACAUUAGCAUUGCAUUUUUGCUAUCAUAUGGAAAUAAGAAGAUCAUCCUCCAAAGUCUUUUCAGAAGAUGGAGAGUUACAUGAUUCAAGCUUGAGGGUCUCUAUGAAUUGAUGAUAACCAUCUGAGGGUUUGCACUUCAUUAGGGUUUUCCUGAUUCUUCUAAGGUCUUGAGCAUCAUCUUGUUUGCAAGGGUAUAUCACCAUCAUCAUGAUUCUAUCAUCAUCCAGGGGUUUCUGAUUCAUGCUCAGAUUCCUUUGGAUUAGGGUUUGACCUAUGAUCAACCUAAUCAAUGCCUUUCUUCCAGCCAGGGUUUCUCAAGAGAUGGGGUUUUUAUGGGAUGAAGAUCACAUGGUCAUAUUAAGGAGCUUACUGAGCUAGGGUUUCAUUUUAGCAUUUUCCCCAAGUGGUAGAGGCGUCAAGCUGAUUAGGGCAUGUCAAGGUCAUCUGAGGAUCAACAAGUCAACUGUGCAAGAGCUGAGGGCUUUGAGUUGGGAGGUGAAUUUAAACACCUCAUUCAUGUUCAAAUAAAGUCCAUUUGUCAUUUCAAAACCUAUCUUGAAGAUUUUGAAGACAUGGCAAAAGUUUCCAAAAUGGAAGUGACCUGUAUUAAAAGUUUCCAAAAAUGACAAGUUUUUGAUCACAUUCACUUGACUUUCCAACAUCAAAGAGCUUCAACUGGAUUUUUGGUGAACAUGAAAGUUGAUAUUUUUCUCUCCUUUUUCAAAGUCCUAUUUCAUGAUCAUCUGAUGAUUGGUUGAGAAGUUAUGGCCCAUGAUCACAAAGUGUACAUGGAAUUUAAAGUGGCAUAACUUUUAAUUCAAAACUCCAAAUUGGUCCACUCUUUUUGCAAAAUGCUUGUCAUGACCAAUAAUUUCCAAAUGAAUCUUUUCCUUGCAUGGAAAAAGAUCACAUGACCACUUGUUCACACAUAUGCAUUUGGAGGGAAAAUUGAUAAUUCAAAUUUGGUUGAUCAUACAAAUAAAAUACCACUUCCAUUGUGUUUAUUGGUGGUUUUAAGUGAAUCCAAGCUUUUGCAUGGGAAACUCACGUGUUGCCUGGGCAUAAUGGUGCAUUAUUCUUUUUUUUGCAAAACUCCAUAUUUCACUAAUCUUGUUAACCAUUGCUAAUCCUAAUUCAGCAUGAUUAACACCUCAUAUAAAAGCUAAACCAUAACUGAAUUUGCUCAUAACUAACUUUUGAGAUCUAGUAUUUCAUUUCCUCCAAUUUUUCUCUCACUUGGAUUUUCAUUUUUUCUUCACACAAACACCUAAUAUUUUCUGAGAUUUUAAUCCUCAUGGAAUCUGAGCAGGAAUCAACCUUAUUGUGGAAUUGAGCAGAAUUGGAGUAGUUCAAGUGCAACCUCAUGUUAAUGGAAGCUUGAAAUUCAGUUGGAUCUAAGAGGUUUCAGUGGUUUUUUUUUGUACACAAAGCUUCGAAGCAAGUGUAAGAGGAGAAGAUCUGGAAGUUCUGGAAGCUUGAACACACGGUUUUUGAUCACUACACUUCAAGUAAGUGAAAAUUCGAUCUCUCUCUUUUGCCAUUUCUUGUGUAAUCGUAUAGAUCUUGCUUAGGUGAUCAUGCUGAUAUGUUUAGAAUUGGUUUUGGUAAAGAAAUUAGGAAGUUAUGUUGAAUAUAAGUUUGGAUCUCAAAACUUCUUUGCCUUGAUCCGUGAAACUAGAGAGAAUUGGGAGAUUUGGAUUGUAGAUUUGGCUUCCUUGUGAGAAGAUCUUCGAACCAUGUAAGAUUCGUCCAUUUCUGGAAAAUCCACGGCGCGCUCCGUGGUUGGCCGGAGAAGACGGCUGUUACUGUCGUCCGCCACCGUCUGGUUCAGGCUAUGGUUUGCGUCUUAAAACGCAGCAUUUUGGCAAGCGCUUUUACCGGGCCUAGCGCGAGUUCGAUACUCCACUUUUGCAUUUUCAGAAUUCCAUUUGUUUUCUCCCUGGAGCGCCCUUGACCUUGCGCGCAUCAGUUCGAUUCGUGCCAUGCAGUUUUCAGAAUUUUAAUUGAGCGCUCAUUUUACCUGGCACGCGUGAGUUCAAUACCUGGUGAGGCAUAUUCUUGAGUUUUAUUUGAUUUCAUUUUCUUCCAUUAUCUCAUAUUAAUUCAAUUUUUUCUUCAACUUUGAAAAUCACAAAAUAGUAAAAAUGUUCAAAUGAUCCCAAUUUUUCACAUUCUUGUUUUGUGUCUAGUAUUUUUUCAUAUUGAUUUUCAUGAUUUGUUGAUUCUGGAUUUUUAUUUGAUAUUUUUGAUUGAGCAUUGUGUAUUUGGAUGUUGCAUUCAUUUGCUUGUGAAAUCUCCAUUGUUGAUCCAAUUGAUCUGAAAUUUUGUGUGCUUGAUCCUCACAUGUGACAUGAUUUUUGAGCUUUGGUUUGGGAUUUUUAUCAUAUGCCAUCACUGUUUUGGACACAUGAACAUGUAGUGUGACAAUUUGUGUCAAUUUUGGAUGUGACUUGUGCAUUUUUAUUCAUCUAUAUUGAGCUCUUUUGGAUCUAAUUUUUUGCAUAUUACUUGUUCAUAACAUGUGGAUUCACAUAAAUUUCAAGACCAUUGGAUGUGUUUCUGUUUUGAUUUGGAUUUCUAACUUGGAUGUCCAAUUUGUGUACCUUUGCUUGCUUUGCUUUACAUGAAUUGUUUGAAGCACUUGCAUUAUGAAUUGAUCUUGGUCCUUUUGAGGACAUCUUGUUGAUUUUUUAAAUGUGUAUUAUGCAAAAGAUUGACUUCUGUUUUGAUCAUUUGGUUGUGUUUUGGACCUAGUCUUUGCACUAGUGUUUUUGUACAUAACUAAUUGUGCUUUGUGUUUCAGGUUUGGACAUUAGCCUUGAUGAUUGGUUUGGUCUCACCUUGUGAGAUGCAAAACCUUUGAAUACUAACUAUGAUUGUUUGUAGGUCAAUUGAUGUUGAUGAACUCAUUUGAGUGCUUGCAUUUGUGCCUUGCAUUGAGUUGUAAAUAUUGGAAAGUUCCACUGUUUGUCUGUUGGUUUUCUGAUUGAGAUAUUAACUGUUUAAGCUUUUGUACAGGUACAUUAGUUGCUUGCUAGCUAGCUUUUGUUAAGCUUUGGAUGUGGUUGAUACACCACUGAGGUAGUUUAGCCUUCUUACUCCAUGUAGUCUGGAAGUCUUGUCACUUUUUUGGCAGGCAUUUGGUGAAUCUCCUUAUGAGGCUCUGAUUGUGAUUGUUUACAUUUGUGCCAAAGACCUCCAAAUGAGGCAUGUCACUUGAUAAGUCCUCCUAAGUGAAGAGGGAAAUUGACAGAUAGAAGGAUUAGCAAUCAAUCCCCUGUUAUUCAGUGAGUCGUUCAUUAUGCUCGCACUACGUGCUGAUGCUCUUGAACAAUGUACCCAAGAUCUUUGUAUAGAGUCGGUCAAGUGGAGCAGGGUCCCUCUUUCUUGAUUCCCACGCUUCCAUUGAUUUGAGCUCACCCAGGCCAGGGUUAAGAGCAUGAGGUCUAAUCCUCAUUAUCAUCUUUGAUCAGCUUCCACCUAAUCUCAAUGUUAGUGUUAGAGCUUCAGAACACCCCUACAGUUUGGCUUGUUUGUCGAGGUUGAUAUGACCCCUCUUGACUAAAGCCCAACCAUUUGUCUGAGGCCUCUUGUUUGUAUAUAGAGUGUGAUGCUUGUUCAAUUGUGUUGAUGUUUAUUUUUUCUGUUUGAACUGACUUGCUUCCUGUGUGAGUUAGGUUCUGAUUAGAGACUUCAACUUAGGGAUUAUCGUUUGCAUGACAACUAUUAGGCUCGAGCACUAGUCUCCCUACUUAGUUGUUUGGUUUCCCUCCUGGUCUCUGGUUAGGAGAGAGUUUCUCCCCUGUUAAGGGGAACUACGUCGCCCUGAUUCUCAUACCAGAUGAGAUACGUAGGCAGGAGAUCGAGCGAGAUCUCUCCGGGCACCCUUUUGUUUUUUUAGUGUGUUCAACCUUUGUGUUUCUUUUGACGUCUCAGCCACUCUUUGUGUUUGUGUUACAACUAUUAGGCUCGAGUUCCAGACUCCCUAUUAGUUUGUCAAUCUGAUAACCUUUUCUUUGGUGUUCACUGGUUAGCGUGUGCUUUUGUUUGGAGUCGGAUAUAAGUCCAUGCAUUGGCAUUCUGUUUCCUUGUUUGUGUUGUUUGUUUGGAGUCGGAUAUAAGUCCAUGUAUUGGCAUUCUGUUUCCUUUUGAGUGUUUCUUUUGACGUCUCAGCGUCUCCUUUUCAUUGUUUUGUUUCGGCGUGCGUUAGCCGAGCUACGAGUGCUCUGAUUCUUACUCUGAUUAGAGAAGAUACGUAGGCAUAGGAUGCGAUGUCCUAGCGAGCAUGUUCCCUUUUCCCCGAACUACGUUGACUCUGAUGGUUUGUUUCUGACAAACUACGUAGGCCCAGGACGCGACAUCCUGCCGAGUCCCCUUCCUCCGUCUUCUUUCCCCUGUUUAUUAUUCCAGUGCGUGCAUUUCUUUGAGCAGUUUAUCAGCAACCUUUUCCUAUUCUUUUGAGUGUGGAUCCCGUCGAGUACGACGGACGUGAGGGGUGCUAAUACCUUCCCCUUACGUAACCGACUCCCGUACCUUGUAAUCUCUGGUCAUAAGACCGUUCCUUUCCCUUUCUUAGGUUAGUCCUGCGCUUCCUUUCCGUCAUAGGAUGAAUAGCGUCGGUGGCGGCUCUGUAAACUUAUUUUUUUUCCGCCGGUUGUUUUUCGCGUUGCGACAUGAGCGAAUGGCGUUUUGGUCCAUCGAAGAUCUGAUUUCAUUGACUAUUGUGGAUCUGUUUGAGGAGUGAAAAAGAAAGAGUAGAACUUUUCUAUUUAAGGGAGUUUUUCAGACAAGAGAAGCUCUUUUUUUGGGAAGCAAAAAUCACACGAUUCAGAAUUAGAGAAAACAAGGUUUUGAGAAGACGAGAUUUUCAUGAGCGAAAGUAAUUGAAGACCAAAUUUCAUCUAAGUACUUCUAAUGUCUACAUUUUAUCAUUUUAUUUCCUUGAAUACUAUGAGUAGUUAAACCCCCCAAUGCUAGAGGGGCCCUGAUUUGAAUAUGUAAUUACUUUGAGUUUAUAUUUGCAAUAACAGUAUUAUUUUUCAUAAUUAAUUUAUUCUCGUGAUGUUCUUAAUGCUUUCUCUUUCGGAACAAUUGAGAUUGUUAUAUGAUUAUCAAUUAGGUUGGACCGUCAUUAGUAAUGCUUUCAUGAGAUUAUUCUACAAUCGAUAUUACCUAGGACUACGGAUACCCUGUAGAAACCAAUUUGUUCUUGAUAAUAAUAAUGCUUAAUUUCAUCGGUUAAUUUCUAUGGACAUAGAGAUUAGAUAUGAAUGAUUAAAGGUUUUCUCACUAAGGCAUUAGGAGAAAACACCCUUAAGAUCUAGUAUUAAUUAAUUGAUAUUUGUUGUUACAAUAGUGACUCAGAGUUGUUACAGGAAGAAAUCACACACAUUUCCUAACAUAUUACUCAUAUCUGUCAAAAAUCGUUCCUUACACUAUUUAUUUUAUUUGCAAUUAUUUUUAUAUAUUCGCAUAAAAAAUUCCCAACAUUAGUUUUUGUUUAAUUGAACAACAAUUAGAACUCAAUAUUUACAAGCAAUCCUUGAGAUCGACAUUCGAGGAACUUUCCUCAGUAUUACUACAAAGGCAAAAUAGUACACUUGCUAUUUCCCGAUCAAGUUUUUGGUUCCGUUGUCGGGACUGCCAAAAUAUAGAGUUCAAUUUAGUUCAGUUAAAAAUUUAUUGCUCUACAACUAAAAUUUGAUUUUUGUUAUUUCAUUUAUUUCGACCUUUAUCAAUUAAUCUAUUUAUGAUAUUUUUAUGUGAGGUAAGGCCUCAGCUGAAUUUCCUUUUAACACAUAAAUCGGAAUAAUUUUGCGUGCAAGACUUAGACAAGCUAGAUUAGCAAGACUAGAAUCAGACAAAGAGCAACUCGGUGUUCAUUCAGAUUCAAAGCCAGAAAGAUAGGCCAAAACAAUGGGUGGAAAUCCACCACUACCAGAAAGACUAUUAGGUGACUAUGUGAUGACAAAUGCAUCGGAUUGUAGGCUAAGAAUUGUGAACCAAGCGGUGAAUGUGCCAAACUUUCAGUUGCAUCACAACACUAUUAAUCAACUUGAGAGGAGACCUUUUUUGGGAAAAAUGAACGAAGAUGCAAAUAAGCAUUUAUAAAGGUUUCUGACUAUGAGCACCACUCUAAAGAUAGAGGGGCACACUGAAGAGGAAAAGAAGCUACGAAUGUUUCCUUUUAUCCUAUCUGAAGAUGCAGAAAAAUGGUUUUAAUCAUUACCUGCUGGGAGUAUUACCACCUGGGAAUAAAUGGAAACCACUUUUUUGAAUGAGUAUUUUUAAGCUUCAGUUUUCCUUAGGAAAAGAUACGACAUCAUGAACUACAAAUAAAAAGAGAGUGAAUCACUUGGUGAUUCAUACAAGAGAUUCAAGAGGUUACUUGUUGCUUGUCCUACACACAACUUAGAUCAGACUGAGCAAAUGUAGAUGUUUGCCAAUGGUCUUCGAUUGAAGACAAAACAAUUGAUUGAUACAACAACUGGUAGCUCAUCAAACUUUUCAACAGCCACAAGUAUUAAGAAGAUCAUUGAGGCGAUAGCCGAAAAUGAGCAUUUAGAGUUGUAUGAUAGGUGUUCAAGCAAAUCUAAAAGGGUUAUUGAUUUGAAGCUUGAAACAAAUAAGAUAAGGAUAGAAGACACAGUUGCUGCAGAAGUUGAAAAGAAACUUAAAGCAAUGAAUAUUGGUACACAAUAGGUAGCUCAAAUUCAACCGGCCCAUAAUGUUAGUUGUGAAAUAUGUGGAGGACCUCAUUUGACUGUAUACUGUGUUGCAACCGUGCAAAAAAUUGAAGAGAUCAAUUUUUUGAAGCAGAACAACCCUUAUUAUAACACUUAUAAUCUAUGCUGGAAGAAUCAUCCAAAUUUCUCCUGGAAAGAUCGACAAGGGAAUGUUCAAAAGCAGGGUCCCAUUCAAUAUCAGAACCAACCACAACAAUACUAACAACAAGCUCCCAAAAUGGUCGAUUGGGAACUGGCCAUUGAAAAGGUGGCAGCUCAAAAUUCCCAGUACCAAAAAGAAACAAGAAAUAAUCAGGGGAACAUUAUUACUUCUAUCAAAAAUCUUAAAGUUCAUAUGGGUCAGAUAGUACAACAAAUAACAGGUUCUCGAGCACAAGGUUCCCUACCAAGUGAAACAGUACAAAAUCUGAGAAAUCAUGAGAAUAUUAAUUGUGUCACGACAAGAAGUCAGAAAGUUGCUAAAGAUGAAGAAGAGAGGGAAACAAAGGAUGACCAUGUCAUAUAGGUAGUUCUGGAAGUAAGGGAAAAUAAGAAAGAAGAAGAAGAAGUUAUACCACCAGUAAAGCCAAUUGAAGAGAAAAAAAAAGGCUAAAGCAGUGAUUAAGUUACCGUACCCUCAGAGAGUGACAAAGAAGGAUCCAAAAGAGAAAGACUUUGAGAAAUUCAUCACAAUGUUCAAAAAGUUAGAGAUCAAUAUGCCUUUCUUCGAAGCACUCGAGCAAAUGCCCAUGUACCAAAAAUUCAUGAAAGAGGUAAUCGCUAAAAAGAGACCAAUAGGAUAUGGGUCGGUAACCUUUAAUGAAAUAUGUAGUGCAAUAUCACCAGGUAGGAGAAUACCAAUAAAGCAGAAGGAUCAUGGAUCUGUCACAGUCCCAUGCACUAUAAAAGACAGAACUUUCAAGAAGGUACUAUUGUCAAUCUACCAAAGGCUUGGUAUUGGAAAUGUCAGUGAUACAAGGAAAAAUCUAAAAUUUGCAAAUCACUCCAUAAAGAAUGCAUAUGGGAUAGCGGAAGAUGUAUUGGUGACAAUAGAGCAAUUUUAUUUUCCUGUUGAUUUUGUGAUCAUAGACAUACCUGAGGAUGAAGAGACACCUAUUAUUCCUGGUCGACCAUUCAUGCGGACAAGUCAAUGCAAUUUCGACAUAGGCCAUGGUACACUAACUUUAAAAGUUUAUGAUGAUGAAAUAACCUUGAAUGUUCUUGAAAACAAGAAGCUAGAGGUGGGAAAAGAAUACCACUAUCAAGUAGGCAUGAUCAGGACAGAUGUGAAAGGCCAAAGUGACAUGCCAACAUCAGAAAAAGUCUCAAGAAGGUCAUCUCAUAUGGUCUCACCUCCAUUAGCAACCCCGAGUGGGAAAACUCCUAUUUCCAUUCCAAAAGCCAUAAGAAAGAAAAGAUAGAGAAAUCAAGGUAAGUAUAUGGAAGUUAGAAAGGACUUGUGGCACAAAGGAAUCCAUACCUUUGAAAAAGACGGUUUCUUAGUUUUGGAAAAGAAGGGCAAUAAGGUGUGAGCUGAAGUACCCCCAUAACAGGGGGAAUGAGGUGUCAAGCUAAUGGCGAUAAAGGAGCGCUUCUUGGGAGGCAACCCAAGGAAAGUAUUCAUAAUUUUAAUUUUUAGUUUCAAUUUUAUAUUAAUUUUUGAGGUUUGUUUGCUUUAAGUGGUUUAUUUUCUGAUCGCUUACUUUCAUCUAGUAAUAUGAUAACUGUAGCUUUAAUGGUUGUGUGAAAAGUACCCAAACAGAAGGCAUAUGUGUCCUCCAUGCAUGUUAACUCGCCAAAAUAUUUUUUCUAUACUUCUAAAUGAUCUAAUUAGUUUAAUUGAGUUGGACUGAAAGUUGAGAAGGUUUACCACAACUGAUUGAGAAGCCACAUCGAGCAAGAGGUACUAUGGAGGUUGUCAGCUCUACCCAACAGGGUGAGAGCAGAAAAAACGAAAAACAAUGUAUAUCAUAAGAGAUCAUUCAGGUACGUCUUUAUCAUUCAGAACUUGCAUACAUUCUUUUUUUAUUUCGGGUGCAUGAUUACACACAUUGAGGCACAUUUUUUCUACCACUGAGCCUUUCUAGCCAUCCUUUUUAUUAUUAUCCAUUAUUAACCCCAUUUGAGCCUUUAACCAUUUGUUUGUUUGGAAAAAAACACAUAAUAUUAACCCAUGGCCCAAACACUCCCCCACCAUGUUCAGAGUAUUUUUGUGAGUUAUCAGAUCCAUGUUCAUUCUAAGUUUGGGGUUGUUGUUGGGAUAACAACCUUUAAGUUUGGGGUAGUUAUGCCUAGUACAAAGAAGGGCACCUGAUGAUUGAAAAAAAAAGAGAAGAAAAAGAAAAGAAAAGAUGAAAAUUUGUAAAAUCAAAUUGAAAUGAAUAAAAGAAAAGUAAUCAUCAGUGCACUUGAAAGAAGGAGAAGUCAGCGGAUAAGACAAAUCCAAAAGUUGAAUCCACGAUAACAGUUAAUCUAUCAGAAUGAGAAUAGUGAAGAUAACGAUCGUAUUGACUCUGAACCUUAUCCUACUUUAUAAAAAUUUCCUACCUUAACCCUAGCCCCGUUACAACCAUAAAGACCUCAAAAAGUGUGUGUGUGUGUGUGUGUGUGUGUGUGUGUGUGUAUCGUGCACCGGGACAUCAAAAAAUAAUAUAUUCAAGCUUACGGUAUGGUAUUGCGUACUAUGAAUUUUGAGUGUAAACACAUUAACACCUGAGAGAUUUGGUGAGGGUGUGAAUUGAGCUGACAAGUGAAGUAGUACUUUCAAGUGAAGGUGUGGUCAAUUAAUCAACCUCAGUAAUCCAGCAAAAACCAAAGGUGUUAACAAAUGAGGGUCAUGGAAGAUCUUAGAGGUAUGAUGGUACGUGAAAAGUUUUUAUUUCAUUUGAGAGUGACAUGAGUCUUUGUAAUUGAAGUUGCUUAAGGACAAGCAACAAGCUAAGUUUGGGGUUGUGAUCAGUCACCAUUUUUGAUAUAGUUAUUAUCAUUUUAACAGGUGAAAGUAGGUGAGUUAUUUGCAUUUUUCAUAUAGUUUAAGUGGUUUUUACACCUUCUGUUACCGUUAAUGUCAUUUAAUCCUUUCACUGUUUUCCAUCAAUUUAUUUCCAUUUUCCACAUUUUAUGCUUAGGUUGUGUGUUUUCACUGUUUUUCAAGUUCAAACAGGGAUUCAAGUACGGUCGGAUAUAGAAACUGGGGAGAGGCACAAAGAAUCAUAAAAGUGCCCUGAUGCUCCAGUAGGCCUGCUACGACCACCUGUAGCACCUGCUACAGGCCGUAGUAGGGAGGCAUGAACCAGAAGCCAAGUCCAUCCAAAAUAGGGGCCUACUAUGGCAACCCGUAGCACUUGUUAUGGGUCGUAAUGGAAGGUCUGAAACAAAGCCAGAUUUCACAGAGACAGUUGCCUGCUAUGGGUCAUAGCAGGGGGGCCUAGAUGGGAACAUAAAAGACACAGGCCUGCUACGGCCACCCGUAGCACCGACUAUGGGUCGUAGCAAGCAUGCAUGCAAAAACCAGAUAUUUCCUUUAUUUUUGCUAAUUUUAAACGAAUGGCAUUUUGGUCCAUCGAAGAUCUGAUUUCAUUGACUAUUGUGGAUCUGUUUGAGGAGAGAGAAAGAAAGAGGAGGAAUUUUCUAUUUAAGGGAGUUUUUCAGAAAAGACAAACACUUUUUUUGGGAAGCAAAAAUCACAAGAUUCAGAAUUGGAGAAAACAAGGUUUUGGGGGAGACGCGAUUUUCAUGAGCGGAAGCAAUUGAAGAUCAAAUUUCAUUUAAAUACUUGUAAUGUCUAUAUUUUAUCAUUUGAUUUCCUUGAAUACUAUGAGUAGCUAAAUCCCCCAAUGCUAUGGGGUGUCCCUGAUUUGAAUCUUUAAUGACUUUGAGUUUAUAUUUGCAAUAACAAUAUUGUUUUUCAUAAUUAAUUUAUUCUCGUGAUGUUCUUAAUUCUUUAUCUUUUGGAACAAUAGAGAUUGUUAUAUGAUUAUCAAUUAGGUUGGACCGCCAUUGGUAAUGCUUUCAUGAGGUUAUUCUACAGUAGAUAUUACCUAGGACUAGGGAUACCCUAUAGAAACCAAUUUGUUCUUGAUAAUAAUAAUGCUUAAUUUCACCGGUUAAUUUCUAUGGACAUAGAGAUUAGAUAUGAAUGAUUAAAGGUUUUCUCACUAAGGCAUUAGGAGAAAACACCCUUAAGAACUGGUAUUAAUUAAUUGAUAUUUGUUGUUGCAAUAGUGACUCAGAGUUGUUGCAGGAAGAAAUCACACACAUUCCCUGACAUAUUACUCAUAUCUGUCAAAAACCGUUCCCUGCACUAUUUAUUUUAUUUGAAAUUAUUUUUAUAUAUUCUCAUAAAAAAUUCCCAACAUUAGUUUUUGUUUAAUUGAACAAUAAUUAGAACUCAAUAUUUAUAAGCAGUCCUUGAUAUCCACAUUCGAGGAACUUUCCUCAAUAUUACUACAAAGGCAAAAUAGUACACUUGUUAUUUCUUAAUCACUAAUCCCUGAUCACCUUUUAUUAGCCCUACGCAGACAUCUUCUAGAGGAUACUUCAAUGUGAGGUAUAAAAUGGAUAAUGCCACCUCCAAAGUAUUGGAUGACGGUAUGCCAAUAAUAAUGUUGUAAGGAGAUGCAACAUUGACAAUCAAGUAUCUAACCUAGACACUUUUUGCAUUGUCUCCACUUCCAAAAGUUGUUAUCACAAGAAGAUGCCCUAGAACCUGCACCUGUUCUACAGAGAAACCAAACAAAGUACCUUUAAAAGGUAACAACUCGAUGAUAUCCAAAUUCAUACCUUUGAAUGCAUCCCAAUACAAAACAUCUGCUGAACUUCCCGAAUCUACUAAGACUCGCUUCACACUCCAGUCAUGAAUUUGUACUUUAAUUACCAUUGGGUCAUUCCAAUUGAAGGCGAGAAAAAUAUACAUAAGAGGGGGGUUGAAUUGUGUAUGUGAAAGUUUACUUCUUUUUCUUAAACCUAUUUCAGAACCUGGGAUGUCAAGCUUAGAUUCUGAUCCUAGUAAAAGUCUGAAUCAGAUCAGAGUCUAACUUCAGAGUUUGUUGCCCAUUAGAAUGUAUAUGCCAAAGCAAAUAAGGAGACACACAAUAUAUUAUGGUUCCUCCCAAACUAAGAAUAGUUCAUUCCCCUUGCAGCAUAAGAGAUUUUUAGUAUAAUCAAAAAUUAAAUUUUGCUCAAUCAAACUAGAAAGAGACUUAUGCUCAAUCCCUCAAGCAAAAGACUUCAUUGCCUGAACAACCUAUUCAAGACUUGCUGCUUAAUCCCACAGAAAGAGACUUCAUGCUCAAUCAAACUAGAAAGAGACUUCUUCCUCUGCCCUCAAGCAUGAGACUUCAAUGCUCAAUCUAACUAGAAAGAGACUUAUUGCUUUUCCCUCAAGCAUGAGACUUCAAUACUCAAGCACUCGUGCAAGAGACUUCUUUGCUCAAGCACUUAGCAAGAGACUUAUUUGCUCAAGCACUCAACAAGAGACUUUUAUAUAUUCUAAACAACAGUUUAGGCUAGUAAAUACAAAUGCACUUGAUAUUCUUAUCAAUGGUGCACAGUUACAACACGAAUUCUGAUGUCUUUAAGAUUUCUAAGAUAAACAAUGAUAAGAAAUCUUAAGACUCUAUUAUACAGUUAACAUAUAUGCAAAAGUUUUCUUGCUUGUAUCAGGUCUUCUUUGUGUUGUGCGGUUUUGUUGACAACUUAUUCAAAAACUUCCACAAUAUUUGAAUCUUUAGCGCAUUCAGAGUUUUCAACUAAAGUCAAUGAAACCAUAUUGAUCAACUUGACCAAUAUACCCAUACUUCUUCAUAUCCUUGAAAUUCCUUUUAUAGGAUUGGGAAAAUAGCCAUUGGAUGAUUUGAACAUAAUAAGCAAGCUUAGUGAAGAAGUAUGCCAAGAGAGAUGUUGGAAACUAGCAUUUGGUUUGAAGUUUUAUCCACUGAAUAAUAACGAUGCUCUCAGUACCUUUCAAAGUACUAGAUAUAUACCAAAAGGUAGAAAAAACGAAUAUGUCAUAUCUCUAUUUCUUGAGCCUUACAAAACAAAACCCUAAUAGACUUGGUCCAUAAUUCUGGGGUUUUGCUAAGACAAGAAUACUUUAUUAUAGUAUACAUAUCAGAUGCACUUCAUCCUUUCAGAAUCUGAGAUGUCAUCAAAAGCUGAGUCUUGAGACCAGAUUUUGAACCUUCAAAGUCUGAUGCCUUCGGAUGUUGGUUAAUCACUUCAGAUUUUGAUCAAUACAGAUUAGGAAAACAUUGCUUCUUCACAUAUGCUAACAAUCAGGAUUAGUUCUAUGCCUGUGAUCCUGAACACUUAAACAAAAUUUUAGCAAACCCUAUUUUUCUUUAAAUACUUUGUUAUUAUAAAAAACUUUUAAGGGCAUAACCAAAUCUUGUUCGAACAAUCUCUCCCUUUUUUAUAAUGACAAACAAAUUUAUUUAAGAACAAUGGUUGGUGAUUUAAUUAACACAUUCUAACAUCAUAGUCUGAAGCUUGUAAGGUUCCCCUAAGUUAGACAGUCCAUUAAGGUGAUGUGUGUAAGAUCCCCCAAAGUUUGAUAGUUCAUUAAUAUGAGGUUUGUAAGCUCCCAUUAAAUCCUUAUCUAUGUUAAUUGAAUCUUAUAAUUAUAACCAACAAAUUCUAACAUCAGAGUUUGAGGUUUGUAAGCUCCCCCUGAGUUUGACAGAUCUUAGGUUGAGGUUUGUAAGCUCCUCCUUUAGUCCGACAGUUCAUUAAGGUAAGGUUUGUAAGCUUUCCUCCUUUACUCAGAAGUUGUUUUGGUAGAAACUGCUUUGUUCAAGUUCUUGUGCUUCAAUCUCUUCUUAAAUACUCCAUGAAUUUUCUCCCCCUUUGUAAUUAUCAAAAAGAUUUUAAAAGAAAGAGAAAAACAAUAAAACCGAGAGAUCAAAAUAUUUUGAAUGCAUGAAAUUUUGUGAGAGAUUAAAAUAAUUAAAAAUUUGAAACAAUUAAAAACUUUUCAAAAGAAGAAGACAAUUUAAAACAAUUUAAAGCCUUUUUCAAGAAUUUGAAUGAAAAGAUAGUUUACCAAAGAAAUUAUUUAUUUCUUAUGGUAAAUCACUAUCAUUUCAGUUUCCGAGAAGUAAUUAUGAUCUAGUAUGGCAUGCUUAAUUAGUGAUUGGUUUUAAGACUUUCAAAGAUCAGAGACUGAAACGCGCAAUAUGUUUGAUCUUCUGAAAUUUUUGUUAUAAAAGCACAUAACUUUUUCAAGCCAAAUCACAAAUCCAUAUUCACUUAACAUACAUAUGGUUCAAGAUGAAUACGACUUCUGAGCAAUUUACUACUCCUGUUGUUUCAAAGGCUCCUAUAGUCUUUGAGGCAACUUCUGAAUAGGAGGUCAGACCCUCUAAAGAAAUUCCUUCAACCUUUCUUCUUCAGGCACUGAAGCCACAAAAGAAUAUUAGUAAGAAGAAUAAGAAGUCCAUAGAAGAAGAAGACGAAUUGGAUUUAAAUUGGGAAAACUUUUCAACGCUUGAAAGUCUAGGGAUGAUUAGGAUUAAUGUUAUAAACAUCCUUUUUGUAAUCAUUCAUUUAAUUCAAUGGAGUUUUUUUUCCCUUUUUUUAAUUUUUGCAUACCAUUUUUUUAAUCAUAAUUAUUUCCUUUAAUGUAAACUGAUUAAGAAGUUCAAAAUUAAAAGAAAACACAAUGCUUUUAACUUGAUAUUUCUUUUUCACUCAAUUCAUUUGAUACAUCCAAUUAACCAAAGAAAUUGAUUUGGUUGUAUAAUCAGGGGCUAAGAAAGAAUACAUCAAAUUAAACUAAGAAUCAGAACAUACAAGUCUUAAGUAAAUAAAAUUACAAAGGAAAGACAUGAACAAAAAAAAGCUUUUUAAAACAUACAAGGAAUUCUUUUGACAUAAUAUGUUACAAUGAACAUUCAUUGACUGGAGAUGCUUUACAAGUCUUACAAUCCAAAAUAAAAGAGAAUAUUAUAAACGUUAAAUCUCAUAAUCUAAACAAAAAUAAAAAAAUGCUCUAAGAGCGAAAUGGAAAGUAAAAUAAAUGGAAAUAACUUCAAAAAUUAAAAAGGAAUCAAACAAAGGCAGCUUAGAAAGACUGCCGAAGUCUGAUGGGAGAAGAAGAAAGAGAUGAAGUUGGACUUUCCAUAAGAACCAACAUGAUCUUCACCAGCAACUCUUCAUCCCAAGAUUAAAUGAAACUUUAUCUAUAUUUACAAUUGUUCCUUGCAGAGAUAAAAGUUCACCCAUAACUCGUUCGGAAGGAAUGAAGAACAACUUUCUCUCAAGGAGAGACAGUGUUAUCUUCAGGAAGUUGGAAAAUACUUGAGGAAAUUUUAUUCUUACGCCUGAGUGAAGGAGAAGCAGAAUAUCAUAGACAAAGACUCCCAGUUCUUCGAGAAGGACUAGUCUUUCAUUGGUGCUCUCCAGUUAAAUUUUCGCGCUAAGGUUUGAGCUAGAGGUCAUCUCAAAUUAGGACAGGAGCCGGAGAAAAUAGCUUUUGAAAAACCAGGGCAAGUUUGCACAACUAUGUCAACUAGGUUUGAGAGACGAGUUAUAAAACAAGAAUGAGAAACUUAGAUUGAGGGAGAUCAGUUUAAAUAGGGAAUGAAAAGGCAUAACCAAGAGAUAAAAAGAUUUAAGACAACUAGAUUUUGAAAAGAUAAUUCACAUAAAAUAUUUUGGAAAAUCAACAAGUAAGAUAAGCAAGUACAAAGAAAAAUUAAAAAAUGACAGGAGAGAGAGGCCACCGAGAAUCCAAAGAGUAAAGCAUUACCACUCUACAGGUUCUGCCCAAAUAGCUUCAUAGCUAGCAUAAAAAAAUUUAGACAUGUGGAUUUUUAGAAAAUAGAUGUAAAAAAAAAUCAUUUAAAAAGUUACAAGUAAUCCUUAUUUGUUUUCUGAGUCUCAGAGCCUGAUGCUUUUUCAGAAGCCACGUGUCAUCAGAGGCUUUUCAAGACUUUAAUGAAGCUACUUCUAAUCAGCAUUAGUCUUUGAUACUCCAUGUUCAGAAUCAAGGUUUUUAAUAAGAUCAAAAACCCUUUUUUAGAGAAGAAUUAAGUCCUUAAAAGACAAAGGGAAAAAUAAGUAAAAUAACUCAUUAAUGAAUUGAAUUGAACAACAACACUUUCUGAUCAAAACUUUUGAGCCCACAAUGCUUGGUUCUGAAUGAAGAAUAAGAACAUGGAUAUAAAAGAAGGCCAUUAUUUAAAUACUUUUCACUUAUUCUGAAAAUUCUUAAGUUGACAUAUUAUCUAAUAUAGUUAUGCAUCAAGGAAAUAAAUACAUACACUAAAGUAAAUAAUAUUUCAACCAAAAAAGUUAUCUAGAUAAAAAUAAGGAAUUUAGACAUACCUUAAUGCAGCUUCUGAACAAACUUUGGUUCCAAUAAUGUUCUUACUGAUGAGAGUCGGUCUCAAAGCAUUUUUUUAUUGAACUUGGUCAUUGUUCAACAUAGUUUUGGAGUUUAGUAGUACUAGCAACCAUAGUACUCUUUUUCUGCUUUUCUCUUAACUCCAACUUUCCUUCCUCUUUUAGAGUUAGGAUUUGGAACAUAUGCUUUGCUUUUGUUAUAGGUUAUAGUCAUCUAUUGUCCAGACAUUAGGACAAACAUUCUAUCUUUUCCUAAUAGGAUAUUUGCAAACACAAUUACAGAUUUUGGUACCCAUAAUCUUAUGAGUCCUUUGUGUUAGUUAAUAUAGGCUUUUUCUUAUUAUGUACCCUUGUCUUAUAGUAAUGUCUAGGAUCAUUACAGACUUUAUUUUUAGAGAAAUUAUAUCUUGGAUAAGCUUUGACAUUAGUUUCUAAACUUUUCAUAAACUUAGAUCCAAAAUUCUUAGAUACAUGUUUUCUUACAACCUUUGACUUGAAGGUCUUAGGUUUUGAAUUCUUUUGACCUUUUGAUCUUUGGAUCAUGGUGUAUGAUUUCUUCGAAACCACUAACUUUGAGAUAUCAGGUUCUGACUUCUGCAGAACUUUUGACCUUGAGGUUUAUGGUUUCAUUUCAAUCAAAUCCUUUGACUUCUCUACUAUUGACUCUGACGAGUUCAGAACUUUGAUAUUAUCAGCAACAGAUACAACAUAGUCAUUAAUCCCUUUAUCAGCAUAGCUUGAAGAUGAUAAUUUUGAGGGUUUAUUCCAUGUUAAAGUUUUGGAAACAAAACAUUUUUCAUAAAAGCCCAUAUCUUAUCAUUUUCUCUUGCUUACUCCAUAGAUCAUGGAUGCAAGCUUAGUUCUAUUAACAUCUGUUGUCAAGAAAUCUUGGAGAGCCAUAUCUUUCUCAUUUAGAGGAUCAAGUGAAUCCUUUUUAGCUUGAGUAGUGAUAACAAUAUGUCUUUGCAUGUAUUUAUUCGAAGAAUCGAAGUAAAACAAGUGAAAGUCAGGCAAAUACGAGAAGAAAUGACCAAAGAAUGAAGGAAAAAUAGCUAAGUGUGCAAAUUGUUGACUUAGUGAACUUUUGAAUGAAAAAGGAGAAAAAAAGAGUGAAGCUUCGGAAAUAAUCACAUCCACCAUCACGCAGCAUCACACAAGCGAUAGGGCAUUAAAAGCUUCAUUGCACGCGCGAUGCAGGGUAUCACGCGCACGAUGGUAACUUUUCUGGACCUUUUUCUGACGCGUUUUGGUUCAUUCUGACACCUUUAAGAUGGGAAUUAUACACUUUCAUAAGGGUUAUAAAAUUUGGCACUGGGAGCACGAUUUUACGGCACCAAAGGGUGAUUUUAAGAGCAUUGGAAGCCAUUGGAGGCAAAUCCUUCAAGGGAACUCAUAUGAUAUUCUUCUUUAUUCAAUUGGUAUUGUAAUUUUAACUAUGAGUAGCUAAGCUUCUCUAGAUUAGGUUGUGUGAUGAUGAACCUUAUUCAAUAUUGUUGGCAUUAUAUGUUGGUUUGACUUUGUAUGAAUCCUUUGAAUUAUAAUUGUAUUCACUUGUUACUUAAUCUUAAUGCUUUUUAUUUGAGAUAUUAUGUUAAUAUGGUUUUGGACACAUAGGGAUUAAUGACACUUAGCCUAUGUGUUGGACAUAUGGCAAAUAUUCUACUUAUGUUGGUUGAAUAGGGAUAGGAGACCUCGAGUAGGGGCAUAUGGAAUUAAUGUUAUGUACAUCGCCUAACCCUGCUUACGUUGAUGGACUAUGGAUAGAAAGCCCCGAGUAUUGGUUAAUGAGAUAUUUCGUGAUGGAUCUCCUAUAACGAUUUUGUUAAUUCGCCGUGAGAUUAUAAGAAUAAGACCAUUCAUAUAAGGCAUCAUACAUCAACAAGAGAGGAUAAUGGGAUUCUAAUACACAACCUAAAUGUCUUAAUUACUUUUGUUUCAAACUCAUAAUUUUUUUUCUGUCUAAAAACCUGACCCCGCCCCCCCCCCCUCAUUUACUGUUUUUCCUUUACAUUGCAUAAUUAUUGGCUUUUCGAAGACAAUCACUGCAGAUUCGAUCUUUUAUUACUGCGACACUAUCAGUACACUUGGGAACAUAUGGCCGUAUUCUAUGAGACAACAUCAAUGUGUCAACUGUAAGGUAUUACAGAGGAUCAGGUUAAACUAAAGUUAUUUAACUUCUCGUUGAUUGGAAGAGUGAAUGAUUGGUUAUUAUGUCUUCCGAAUGGAGUGACAGGAACUUGGAAUGAAUUGGAAGACAAAUUUUUAGAAAGAUUUUUCACUACCACGCAAUUCACCGAAAGAAAAGCUAAAAUCACAUAGUUUAAACAACAGGAAACCAAAUAUCUCUAUGAUGCUUAGGAGAGGUUUUAACUGUUAUUACAAUGGUGUCUGAACCACAAUAUGAGAAAUAUGGAGCAAAUGCAAUUUUUUAUGAAAGGCCUUUAAAUGAAAGCACGAAUUCUCUUAGAUGCAUCUGCCGGAGGAACAAUUAGGACAUUGAAUGAACCACUGGUGAAGGAGCUGAUAGAGAAAAUGAGUCUAAAUGAAUAUAACUUUGCAAAUACUAGUGGGAUUGAAAGUGUGGUCACGAAAAAUAAUUCUCAUAGUAAGCUGACUUUAAGAGGAUAUGAAGAGCUUCUCACAAAGUUAGAAGUGUUGAAUCAAAAGUUGAAUGGGGCAAAGAAAAUGCCAGAGUCUUUAAAUAAGGUAAUGUUUAGUUUAUGUACUAACUGUGCGAAAGAAAAUUUUGCAGGUAAUUGCACAAAAGCACAAGUUACAUAGGAUGUACAAGCUAUCGCCAUUAGUGAUAAUCCUAAAGUACAACAAACUAAUGUGGAAUGCAAGCUCUCAUCAUUGGAGGAUACAUUGACUCAAUUUAUAUUGGUAACUCAAAAUGAAUUAGUAAGGAUCACUAAAUCAUAUAACUUGUUAAGUGAAAAGCAUGAGGAGUCAAUGGGAAGAAUGUAAUGGCAAAUGUCUAUUCUCUCACAAUAAAUCAUAUCGUUAAUGCAAGAAAAGGGAAGUUAUGACAGAAUCGAGUUAAGAAAUAGAACAAUCCCAUCAGUCCAAAAGGAAAACACCGAUAAAAAAAUAGUAGAAAAGAGUAUUGAGAGGGAGGAGAAUCUGAAAUCCACCCCAACUGACGAAGAAGUUUCUAGGGAGAAUUCUGAGGAAGGAGAGACACUUGAUAAGUUUAUUGAUAAAGAUUCACCUUUUAGGAGAACAAAGAAUCAAAUCAUAAAUGAACCAAACCUUUCCUUUCCAAAUUACAUCAAACCACCUUACCCUUUGAAUAAGAAGAAACCUAAGAGAGAAUUAGAACUAGGGCAUUUAAAAAAAUUCAUGGAGAUGCUCACAGCGUUACAAGUGAACAUUCCUUUUUGUGAUGCUUUGGAACAAAUACCCAUUUAUGCUAAAUUCAUGAAGGAACUGUUGAAUGGUAAAUGCAAGUUGAGGGAUGAUGAAAAUGUUGCUUUAGCAGAGGAAUAUAGUGCAAUGAUUCAACGUAAACUACCACCUAAGCUAGCAGACCCAUGCAAAUUUACUAUUCCUAUCUUUAUAGGUUCAUUAAAAAUUGACAAGGCACUUUGUGAUCUAGGAGCAAGCAUAAAUUUGAUGUCGUUAUUUAUGAUGAUGAGACUAAAUUGUGGAGAACCAAAACCUACAAAAAUGACUUUAGUUGAUCGAUUUGUCACUUAUCCUUAUGAAGUUCUAGAAGACGUAUUAGUAAACCUUGAUGACUUAUUGUUUUCGGUCGAUUUCGUCAUUUUAGAUAUGCCAGAAGAUAUGGAGACACCUUUAUUGUUAGGAAGGCCUUUUCUUGCCACGAGUAGAGAAUUAAUUGAUGUGAAAAGAGGAGAGUUAAUCCUCCGGUUUAAUAAAGAGCAGGUAAUAUUCAAAUUUUUUUAGGCCAGAAAGCACACUCAAGAGGAUUUGCAAUGCUACCAAAUUGACUUAAUCGAUGGAUGUAUAGAAAAUGUUUCAAAAGAAAAAGGCCCAUCUUCACCAACGGAAAAGGUGAUGGUGAAAUCCCUUGAAGACACCAUAUCAUAUGAUGAGCAUGAAGAAGUAAACAAGGUGGUACUACAAUUUCAAGCAACUCAGUUGGAUCAUACUUAUAAGAAAUUUCUAGAAUUGGGAAGAAGUAGUGAGGAAAAACCAACAGAUCCCGAACUAAAACAACUCCCAGAGCAUUUGAAAUAUUUUUUUCUAAAUCAAGGACAUAAGUAUCCUACAAUUAUUAGUAGUACUUUGUCAAAAUUUAAAGAAGAAAAAUUAUUGUGAGUACUUAGAGAAAAUAAAGAAGCAUUGAGAUGAAGAGUGCCAGAUUUGAAGAGAAUCAACCCAUCAUAUUAUAUGCAUAAAAUCAAGCUUGAGUAAGAAUUCAAACCAAUAGUUCAACCUCGACGACAAUUAAAUCCAAUAAUGAAGGAAGUCGUAAGAAAAGAAGUCCUUAAAUUGUUGGAGGCAGGUAUCAUUUACCCUAUUUCUAAUAGUUCAUGGGUAAGCCCGGUGCACGUAGUCCCGAAAAAAGGGGGCACCACUGUUAUUUGAAAUGAAAAAAAUGAAUUAAUCCCAACUCGUAACGUUACGGGGUGGAGGAUGUGUAUUGACUAUCGUAGGUUAAAUCUAGCAACUCAGAAGGAUCAUUUUCCAUUUCCAUUUAUGGAUCAGAUGCUUGAAAGACUAGCUGGACAAGCAUGUUAUUGCUUUCUGGAUGGAUAUUUGGGAUACAACCAAAUAGUCGUCGAUCCCACAGAUCAGGAGAAAACUUCACUCACAUUCCGAUUUGGAAUUUUUGCAUAUAGACUGAUGCCUUUCGGAUUAUGUAAUGUGCCUGCAACAUUUCAAAGGUGCAUGUUUUAUAUUUUCUAUGACAUGAUUGAAAAUUCAAUAGAGGUAUUUAUGGAUGAUUUCUUUGUUUUAGGUAAGUCGUAUGGCAGUUGUCUUUAUCAAUUGAACAAUGUCCUUAAGAGAUCUAUUAAGACAAACUUAGUGUUAAAUUGGGAAAAAUAUCAUUUCAUGGUCACUGAGGGUAUUGUUCUCGGCCAUAAAAUCUCUAUAAAAGGUAUAAAGGUCAAUCAUGCAAAAAUUGAGCUAAUAGAAAAACUUCCAUCACCGGCAAAUGUCAAAGGAGUUAGGAGAUUUCUAGGGCAUGCAGGUUUUUAUAGGAGAUUUAUUAUAGAUUUUUCCAAAAAAUUCAAAACCUUUGUGCAACCUGUUGGUCAAAGAAAACAAAUUAACUUUGAUAAAGAGUACUUACAUUCUUUUUUUAUGAUAAAAAAAUUAAUAACUGCCUCAAUCAUUGUUUCCUCAAAUUGGGAGCUCCCUUUUGAAAUCAUGUGUGACGCUAGUGAUUAUGUUGUGGACGCAGUUCUUGGCCAAAGACACACAAUUUUUUUCCAUGUAAUUUACUAUGCUAGCAAGGUUUUAAAUGAAAAUCAAGUUAAUUACACUACGAUUGAAAAGGAAUUUCUAGUUAUAGAAUUUGCUUUGGAAAAAUUCCGCCCUUACCUAAUUGGUUCAAAAGUGAUUAUUUUUACAGAUCAUGCAUCCCUGAAGUAUCUAUUCAGCAAAAGUGAUUCAGAACAAAGAUUGUUACAAUGGGUGCUUUUGUUGCAAGAAUUUGAUCUGGAAAUUAAGGGUAAAAAAGGAGUGGAGAAUAUGGUGGCGGAUCACCUUUCUAGAUUAGAGAAUGAGGAGGUGACCAAAAAAAAGGAAAACAUCACAUAGACAUUUCUGGAUGAGAAGCUAUGGCUAUUAGUGAGGGACCUUGCUUUGCAAACAUGGCAAAUUAUAAAGCAACAAAUGUUGUAUCAGAAUAAUACACAUGCCAACAAAGAAAACGCUAAGAAGCCAAUUUUUAUCCUUAGGAUGAUCCAUACCUGUUUAAGAGAAGUCAUGAUGGUUUACUUCGUAGGUGUGUUGCAGGUAAGGAAGUUAACAUAAUUAUGUGACAUUGUCAUAGUUCCGCAUAUGGAGGACACCACAUUAGUGAGAGAAUGGCUGCGAAAAUUUUACAAAGUGGGUUUUGGUGGCCUACCUUAUUUAGUGACUAUAAGUUAUAUGUGUCUACAUGUUCGGAGUGCAAUAAAACAUGCAACAUUUCAAAAAGAGACGAGAUGCCCUUGAACAUCAUGCUGGAAGUAGAACCAUUUAAUUGUUGGGGUAUUGAUUUUAUGGGUCAAUUUCCCCAAUAAAAUACAUAUUUUUAUAUUAUUGUAUGUGUUGAUUAUCUUACUAAAUGGGUGGAAGCAAUUGCGUGCAGUGCUAAUAACGCCUGAAGCGUUACUAACUUUUUGAAAAAGAAUAUUUUUGUCAGGUUUGGGUACCCAGAGUCUUAAUCAGUAAUGGUGGCACGCACUUUUGCAACAAAUACUUGGAAAAGUUGCUCAAAAAGUAUAAUGUGAAGCAUAAAGUGUCAACACCAUAUCAUCAUCAGACUUGCGAUCAAGUGGAAGUAUCAAAUAGGAAAUUGAAGCAAAUUUUGGAGAAGACAUUGGCAACCUUAAUAAAAGAUUGAGCAACUAAAUUGGAUAACACUCUGUGGGCAUACAAAACAACCUUCAAAACUUAUUUAGGGUUCUCUCUGUAUCAACUAGUCUAUGGAAAAGCAUGAUAUCUCCCAGUUGAAUUGGAACAUAAAGCUUAUUGGGCUGUAAAACUUUUGAACUUUAAUGAGAAGUUAGCUAGUAAGAAGAGAUUAUGAAACUGGACGAAUUGGAAGAGAUGUGAUUGUCUGCAUAUGAGAAUGCGCUAAUUUACAAGGAACUAACUAAGAGAUACCAUGAUAAAAAGCUUGUUAGAAUACAGUUUCAGGUAGGGCAACAUGUAUUGUUGUUCAAUUCUAGGAUAAGAUUAUUUCUAGGUAAACUGGAGUCUAAGUGGUCUGGUCCGUUUGUGGUCACAGAAGUACGCCAAACGGAGUCAUUGAAAUCCAGGAUCCUGGAGAUAUGAGAAUGUUUAAAGUUAACGUACAAUGACUGAAUCAUUAUUAUGGAGGAGAAAUUCCGGAAGAAAUAACCUUCCUCAUACUAUUUGACCCCUAAUGUCAAGCGUUAAGCUAUUGACGUAAAAGAAGCGUUGGAUAGGAGUCAACCCAUCAAUUUUUAAUCAGUUUUUAUCUUGCAGAAUUUAUUUUAUUUCUAUUCAAGAACCAUAUCAAGAGGAAGUAGCUAUUCUUACAUAAGUUUCCAGGAAGAUCUAAAUUGUCUUUAAUAAACAAGUUUGUAGUUGUUUAUGUUUUUUUCUGUCAGAUUUACAUGUUCUAACUUUAGCAUUGAGCGGAUGAUCCAAAAGAGACUUGAUCAUCAAAUUAGCAACUAUCAACUUGAAGGAUAAGAAUGGGAAAAAAAUCAACGGACUUGUACUCAACCUACAAAUACGUCAUCUGGUAAGGUUUGAGCCAAAUACUUCCAUUGUGCACUUUUCUCUCUUUUUGAGGGUAUCCAUGCAUUAUUCUUUUAUCUGAUUUGAUUUAUUUCCGAUUAAGUUAUCAAGUUUGAUCAACACACAUUGAGGCAAUUUUUUUGUUAAUAACUUUGAGCCUUUGUAACUACCCUGUAGUAAUAGGAAUAUCCUUUUUCUAAACACUUUGAGUCUAAGCUUUUCUUUCGGUUAUGUAGCCUUAAAUUAUUAGCCAUUUAAUUGAAAGAUAUUUUCUUUCCACCCUCUCUUUGAAGUUAGGUAGAAAGUUUGUUCGUAAGUACAUGAAAAAGAUUAAGUUUGGGGUUGCUCUUGGAAGUUAACAAUGUUUUAAGUUUUGGGUUGGGGUACUAGAGGAUAUGAUCCAUAAUUUCAAAUUUUGUUGUUAAAAAGAAGCGAAAAAAGACGCUUCUUCAAAAAAAAUGAAUGAACGAUAAAAGAAAAAGAAUGGAAUUAUUAGAAGGAUCACAAAUCUCUAGUACUAACAAAAAAAAAUGAUGAAUGAAGGAGAACUAGGAAAGCCCUCUAAUGUGUGUGUUGUGAUUUCUUUGAUGAACUUAAUUAGAAUAUGAUCAAGAUAAGUUUAAUUUAUUUUGCAUGUUGAUUGAGUGAUCAUCCUAUCCAGUGAGUGAGUUAUAGUGACUUGAGAGAUAGGUUGAGUACUCGUCAAUGUUGAACAUAUUUUCUGAAUUCUCCAGAUAGAAGUUGGAAGCCAAAACAUGGUCAGGUAAAUGAAAAUUUUAAUUUAAUGGUGUUCGAUUGUUAUUGUGUGACUUGUUGUCUAUGGAAAUAUGUAGUUACAAACGAGUUACUUGAGGACAAGCAACAAUUCAAGUUUGGGGUUAUGAUGACAAUCCAUCAUUGCAUGUAUUUAAUCGAAGAAUCAUAGCAAAAUAAGUGAAAUUCAGGAAAAUAUGAGAAGGAAUGCUCAAAGAAUGAAGGAAAAAUAACUAAGUGUGAAAAUUGUGGACUUAGUGAAAUUUUGAGUGAAAAAUGAGCAAAAAAGAGAGAAGCUUCAGAAAUAAUCACAUCCACCAUCGCGUAACACCGUGCACGUGAUAUGGCAUUAAAAGCUUCAUCGCGCGUGUGAUGUAGGGUAUCACGCAUGCGAUGGACAAUUUUUUGGGCAUUUUUCUGAUGUGCUCUGAUCCAUUAUGACACCUUUAAGAGGGGAAAUUUUGCACUUUCACAAGGGUUACGAAAUUUGGCACUGGGAACACGAUUUUACAACAUCAAAUGGCGAUUUUGAGAGCAUUAGAAGCCAUUGAAGGACAAUCCUUCAAGGGAAUUUAUAUGCUAUUCUUCUUUAUUCAAUUGAUAUUAUAAUUUUAACUAUGAGUAACUAAGCUUCUCUAGCUUAGGUUAUGUGAUGAUGAACCUUAUUAAAUCUUGUUGGCAUUAUAUGUUGGUUUGACUUUGUAUGAAUCAUUUGAAUUAUAAUUUUAUCCAGUUGUUGCUUAAUCUUAAUGCUUUUUAUUUGAGAUACUCUAUUAAUUGUGAUUUUGGACACAUAGGGAUUACUGACCCUUAACCUAUGUUUUGGACCUAUGGAAACUGUUCUACUUAUGCUGGUUGAAUAAGGAUAGGAGACCCCGAGUAUGGACAUAUGGAAUUAAUGUUAUGUACAUCGUCUAACCAUGCUUACGUUGGUGGACUAGGGAUAGAAAGUUCCAAGUAGUGGUUAGUGAAUUAUUUCACCGUGAGAUUAUAAGGACAAGACCAUUCAUAAGGAUACGACCAUUCAUGCAAAGCAUCAUACAUCAACAAGAGAGGAUGGGGGGAUUCUAAACACAACCUAACAAUCUUAAUUACUUCUAUUUCAAACUCAUAAUUUUCUUUCCGUCUAAAAUCUUAAACCCCCAUAUUUACAGUUUUUCCUUUACAUUGCACAAUUGUUGGCUUGUUCAAACAUAAUCCUUAUGGAUUCAAUCUUUUAUUACUGCGACACUAUAGUCACACUUGCCAAGAAGUCAUCAAGAAGCUAGAUUUCUUUCCAAUGUCUUAACAGUUUCUUUAUAAGAUUUAUAUUCUUCUUUAAGAAAAUCUAGUUGUUUCUUAAUAACCUUCAUGUGCAUUUCCUUAUCUUGACAAUGGCUCAUGAGAUCAUAAACAAAAGUAAUAAGAUUAGAAUGAGAUAGGUUAGAAAAUAACCUCAUAUUCCUCAUCAUAUUUAAGCCAUAACCUGACCGGAAUUUUGAAUCAGAGAGUGUGUGAGCCAUCCAUGUAAGGUUAGUUUCUCCAGCUUUUUUGUCUGAAUCUUCCUUUGAAUCAAGAGAAAUUGUUUGCAUGAUAUUUUAUUGAUGUCUUUGAGUCAAACUGCAGAAGUUCUUAAUCUUUCUCUUCCUCAACAAGCAGAUGAAUAUUAAACCUUGAUUCUUGCAACAAGCACAUUUCCCCCACAAGUCAGUCUCAGAGAUUAAAGAACCCUUUCAUACUCACAAAGCAAAUGGCUUAAAGCAUAAAGGUUUCUUGAUUUCUUCAACAAGCACACUUGUCCCAUGAGUCAGUCUUAAAGAUUAAAAAUCAUUUCAUACUUACAAAACAAAUGACUUAGAGUAGGAAAGAGUUUCUUGAUCCACAGAAAUUUGAAAGAACCCCCUCAAAAUCUCCUUCAGGGUCAUAUGCUUAUGUUUAAGCACUCGACACACCUUUAGCAUGACUUUCUUCAGCUCAUCUUUCUUUAUUGUUUGUAGUUUCCAUUCUUUGACUAAUGAAGGAAACUUCAUUUAAAACUGAAGUACUGACGGAAUAGUUUUUCUCAUUGGAUCUUUUCUGUUUCAUUGUGAAGUGAAAAAACUAAGCUAGACUUUGAUACCAACUAAAGGUGAGAAAAAUAUACACAAGAGGGAGGGGUUAAAUUGUGUAUAUGAAAGUUUAAUUCUUUUUCUUAAACCUAUUUUAGAACCUGAGAUGUCAAGAUUAAAUUCUGAUCUAAGUAAGAGUCUGAAUCAAAUUAGAGUCUGACUCUAGAGUUUGUUGUACAGUGGAAUGUAAAUGCAUAAGUAAAUAAGGAGACAUGCAAUAUAUUUUGGUUUCUCCCAAACUGAGAGUAGUCCAUUCCCCUUGCAGCACAAGAGUUUUUCACUAUAACCAACAUAUUACAUUUUGCUCAAUCUAACCAGAAAGAGACUUCUUGCUCUGCCCUCAAGCACGAGACUUCAAUACUCACGCACUCGUGCAAGAGACUUUUUUUCUCAAGCACUUAGCAAGAGACUUGUGUCGCAUUACGCGAAAAACCGGCGGGAAACGAAACAACAGAGCCGCCACCGUGCGUUAUUUAUCCCAAAGGAGGGAAAGGAAACGCUCGAAGUAAACCUGGAAAAGACAUGGUCUUGCGACCAAAGAGAAUGGGAUCGGGAGUCGGUUAUAAAACCUGGAAAAGACAUGGUCUCGCGACCAAAGAGAAUGGGAUCGGGAGUCGGUUAUGCGAAGGGAAGGUAUUAGCACCCCUACGCAUUCGUCGUACUCGACGGGAUCCACGCACAAAAGGAAGGAAGAUGGUUGCUAAAACACUGCUCAAACACAAAUAUCGGCUGAAAGAGACACAAGAAAACAAACAAGACUGACUCGGCAGGAUAUCGCAUCCUGGGCCUACUUAGUCUAUCACAUAGACAUCAGAGUCGAAGUAGUUCAGACCGGGGGAAAACAUGUUCGAUAGGACGUCGCAUCCUAUGCAUACGUAUCUUCUUGGACGAAGAAGAAUCAGAGCAUCCGUAGCUCGGCUCACGCACACAAACAAAACAGACACAUGCAAACGUGGAAUCCGAAUGCCAAUCGCUGGACUUACAUCAGAUUCCGAACCUAACACACCCACACUGGAAACCGGAUGCCACUUGAUGGACUUAUACUGGACUCCAAGCACACAACAAGAGGAUACGGAAUGCCAAUCGCUGGGCUUACAUCCAUCUCCUAACACCAACACAGGAAGAAGAAGGGUCUCGAUUGCAACUAGGGCAAAAGAAAGGGAAGGUCUCAAUCGCAACGAGGGCGAGAGAAAAGAAUUAGUGUUAGUUGUUAGUCAAACUCGACAAGACAUCGCAUCUCGUGCCUACGUAUCUCAUCAGGACAUGAGAAUCAGAGUUGCCGUAGUUCGGCUAAACUAUUCCUGUUGGUUUGUGUUUUUUAAGUGGCGACGUCACUACGCAAUCUACCGGAUGCUCGACCUUUGAGACUUACUCACCUGUAGUAGAAGGAGUUGACGUAUCCUAAAGAGGGAUAAUGUUUGUUUGUGUUUAGGAAGCUCAAGCAAGAAAGGAAGUCCAUACGAAGGAACCGUGCUACCUAAUGACAUGCAAACGAGACUCGCGGAGUCUAGCAGACCUAGGGGAUACAAUCACACCACACAACACAUACAGCAUGAAGUAAACACCAACAAGGGGCUCAACAUCAAGGCUGGCUUAGUCGAGGGUCAUGUCAACCUCGACAAACAAGCCGCUGUAUCAGGUGAGGUUACUUAACCCUAACAUUGAAGUUAGGUUAAGCUGAUGAAGGAGUGAAGAUGAGACUUCACAGCUCUUAUCCCUGGCCUGGGAGAGCUUUCAGACAAAUGAAGUGUGGGUCAGAAAGUGGAACCUUCUACACUUAUGAACACUGCCUCAACUUAGAUCUGGGGUUAGUGUCACCAAGGCAUUCAAACUGUGAUGUGAGCCAAGGGAUGACCCAACAGAAGAGCAGGAGAUGAUUGCACAUCUCUGUGUCUGCCAAUUGCCUUAACAAAGGUCUUUUCCUGCUUGGGACAAAAUAACAAGCACAACAUUGCUCUUAAGGAGGACUUCAGACAGGUGCCUGGCCAAGUAACAGGCCAGGUCUUCCAGACUACAUGGAGAAAGAAUCAUUUAUACCUCAAUGCUCAAGCUAGCAACAAAGCACAAUCAAUUUCAAAGGAACUAUAGAAACUAAGGUACCUGAAAUCAAUCUAAAUAUAAUCAGUACUCAGCUCAAACAAUAAGCAAACAGCCAAUGGUCAACAGUUAACUAUACAGUCAAACAACAGUCAAUGCACAAAGUGCAAGCCACAUGGCACAAACUCAAGUUUCAAACCUACAAACAAAUUCCAAGUUAGUCAUAAACAAGCAACAAGCCGACUCCAAUUGAAGGCACAUCAUCAAGCAUAAGCAAAUUGUGCUUUAACCUGAAACAAAGCUCAAAUGUGAGAGCACAAACCACUAGUACAAGACUAGGGUCAAAUGAGCAAAAAGUCAAAACAACAUGAAACUUAUCCAAAGUCAGAUCAAUCAAAUAAGAAUCAAACCCAAGUGUUCCAUGUUCAUAUCAUCAAUCAUUAUCAUUUCAUGAAGUGAAGAGUACAAAACAUGCAAUUUGAAGCUCAAAGACCAAACAGAAUGGCUCACUCAAAUCAACUCACAAACAUUUCAAUAACACCAAAAAAUUCAUGAUCAACAGGAUUCACAACAUGACCUAGACACACCAAAUUCACACUCAUUUGGACCAAUGGAAGCAAUCAAUUAAAACCAUCAAAGCAAGUUCAUACAAGCUCAUACAAGCACCAAAACAUGCAUCAACUUCUAGCAAGUAAAAACAGAAUUGGCAUAAAAAAGUGAAUGAACAAAGCCAUGCACACUUCAGAUGUCUAUAAUAUACAUGGCCAAAUUUCAAAGCCCAUCCAUAACAACCAAAAUUUCACAAAUCAUAUAGAUCAAGACUCACAAAGGUCAACAAUUGUCAAACAGGGACAAUUAUCAAACAAAUAGGAAAUGCAUUCAAAAAUUCCAGAAUCACAAGCAUUCCACUAUCAAACAUCAUCAUCAAAAAUCCAGGCCAAUUCAAGUUCAAUAGGUAUGGAGAUAAAUCAAGAAGUUGGACAUGAAAUGGUGUGACAACAAAUUGUCACACCUCUAAAGAUCAUAGCAUAACUCACAAUCCAGGAACUAAAAUACAAAUCCAUACAAAUGACCAGGAGAGUCUAUACACACAUGUAAAUUUCAAGAAUUCCAAAUUCAGCAUCAUCAUUCAUGAUCAAAAUGGUAAGGCAGGUACACAAAAUGACAUGUUCACAUAAACCCUAGCCUAAAACAGAUUCCACACGUGCACAAUUUAUUAAAAUCAAUCCAAAAAUUCUAGAGAUUGCAAGGAUCAUCAUGGAAGAAAUCUCCACAUAAUUAAGAUAAACCAUCAAGAAGUUAUGAAUUUUGUAACAUGGUGAAAAAUUAAAAAAUGUGAAACAAGGCAAGGUGAACAUGAUUAACAUAUGUGAAAAAAUAAUACAAAUGCCAAAAGGAAAGUGCAUGAGCGGAGGAUCGAGCCUUGUAGCCUUUCAAACUGCACGCGCUAGAGCUUAAGCGCUGCGUUUAAUUAAAUGACGUGGCCUAUGGUGAUUGGUUUCAUGAGCGAAAAACAUCAAAAACAUGCAAAGCAGGCCAAUACACGAUCAAAUGGAUUCUGGAAAUGGUUCUUGCGCGCCUUCAACAUGUUCUUCAUUCAAAAUCCAGGUGAUGAACAAUUUUCCACAGAAAUUGGCAAAUGAUAUACCAAAAGACUCGUCUCAACAAGCACAACAACAAUCUCAGCAUGAUUUCCUCUAAUUCUCACUAACAAAUCCAGAUCGAUCAAAAGAAAAUUUGAACAUCAAACUUCAAUUCACAAUAUCUCAUUCAAUACUUGAUGAAAUUCAAUUCUAUAAGGUUCAGCAUGCUCUACAAUAGGAAAUCUACAUUAAGCCAAGCCUAAUUCAUGAAUGAAAGUUUCGAAUUUCCAACCUUGAAGAAUUGAGAACUGGAAUCUUAAAUUCUGGCUGGGAAAUGUUAAACAGACAUGAUCCUUCAAGCUCCAAUUGAUGAAUGAGUGAAAAGACUUUAGCUCAAUUGCCUUGAAUCUUGCUCCAAUUUCAAUGCCAUUGAUGAAGCUCUAUGUAACAAGCUCCUUGGAUUUGCUUCGAAAAAAAAAAAAAAAUGGGGGGGAAAGGAAAAUUUAAUUUUUUCCCCUUGGGGGCCUUGCAGAAGGUUCAUUCUAGAUACUCUGUAAGAUUGAAACAAUGAGAAACAGCACAAGUUUUCUUUGGAAAUUUGCAAAAAAUGAGAUUCCGAGAAAAAUUGAGAGUAGUUUUGUGGCUAUUCUUUGGAUUCUAGACCUUGAGACUGAAUGAAAGCCUAAUGAUGAUUUCAGUUAGGAUUAGUCUCAUUUAUAUUGCAUAGCUGUUUAUCAUUUUUUGCUGUUAAAUGCCAUAUUAUCUGAAAUGGAAGUCAAUUAGUGAAAUGGCAUGUUUAUGUCAAUUAGCCAAGCCUACCCUCAUAUCAUGAAUGAUUGCUUACAGUGCAUGCAAUAACCUUGCUUCAUACAUCACUCCAAAUGUUGAUUUAAGAACAAAGUUGAAGCUUGAAAGUGUGGCAAAUGCAUAUUUUGAAAGUCACUUUUUUAACUCUUCCUUUUUUAAAUUCAAGUCACUUGAAAAAUGGACUUUCUGUGUGAUGAUUUUUGAUGAAAUGUGAUGAAGGAUUUGGAUAGAGCAUGUCAAAUGUGACUUGUAGCAAAAAACCUCACUCAAUUUGGCCAAAUGGUUCAAGAGUUAUGCCUCCUUGAAGUUCAAUUUUUCUUGAAAAUGAUUUGAUCACAACUUGCCAACCAUAAAUGAGAAAUGAGUGUUCUUGGACUUUUUGGAAAGGUGAGAGCAAUAUCUUUAACUUUCAUGUUGGACAAAAUUCCAUUUGAAGCUUUUAUGAUGAUGUAAAUUUGAGGAGAAAACCUUUCCAUUUUUGGCAGUUUGAAAUUACAGGUCACUUACUAUUUUUGGAAACUUUUCAUCUGACCUCAAAUUCUUUAAUCUUGAUCUUUGAAAUGUCAAAUGAGACUUGUAUGGACAUGAAUGAAAUUCAUCUGACCUCAAAUUCUUUAAUCUUGAUCUUUGAAAUGUCAAAUGAGACUUGUAUGGACAUGAAUGAAGCCUUUCAAACCAUCUCCCACCUUCAAAUCCAUGAAUUCAGGCACAGUUGACCACAAUUGACUUUCUAGGGUUUCAGAUGCAAUUCAACUUGACUGUUGAGCUUUGAUCAUCCAAUCUUUGUCCAAACCACCUCAAAAUGAUCACAUAAUCAUAUGAACUUGAUAAACCAACCCUAGGGCUUUUCUUCCUUGAGAAUUGCACAUGCUUGCUUGCUUGAUUGAUCCUCCUGACCAGUCUUGACCUAAUUUUGUCUGAUGACUUGCACUUGGGCAAAGGACAAUGCAAUUUUAUGCAGUGGACUAUGUAAUGUUAAUGACCUAAUAUGAAAAUGUAUGUACAAAAGGUAGGUGCAAAUUUGAGGUGCUACAACUUGUUUUCUCAAGCACUCAACAAGAGACUUUUACAUAUUCUAAAUAGCAGUUUAGGAUAGUAAAUACAAAUACACUUGAUAUUCUUAUUAGUGGUGCACAGUUAUAACACAGAUUCUGAUGACUUUAAGAUUUCUAAGAUAAACAAUGAUAAGAAAUCUUAAGAUACUAUUAUAUAAGCUAACAUAUAUACAAAAGUUUUCUUGCUUGUAUCAGAUCCUCUUUGUAUUGUGUGGUUCUGUUGACAGCUUAUUCAAAGACUUCCACAAUAUUUGAAUCUUUACCACAUUCAGAGUUUUCAACCAAAGUCAACGAAUCCAUAUUGAUCAACUUGACCAAUAUAUCCAUACUUCUUCUUAUCCUUGAACUUACUUUUAUAGAACUAGGAAAAUAGUUGUUGGAGGAUUUGAACAUAAUCAUCAAGUUUAGUGAAGAAGCAUGCCAAGAGAGACGUUGAAAACUAGCAUCUGGUUUGAAGCUUUGUCCACUGAAUAAGAGCAACGCUCCCAAUACCUUUCAAAGUACUAAGUAUCUACCAAAAUAUAGAACAUACUGAGAUGUCACAUCUCUAUUUCUCGAGCCUUGAAAAACAAAACCCUAGUAGACUUUGUCCAUAAUUUUGGGACUUUGAUAAGACAAGACUACUUUGGUACAGUAUACAAAUCAUAUGCACUUCAUCCUUUCAGAAUCUGAGCUUUCAUCAGAAGUUGAGUCUUGAGACCAAAUUCUGAACCUUCAGAGUCUGAUGCCUUCAGAUGCUGGUGACACAUUUCAAAUUAUGAUCAAUCAGAAUUAGACAAACAUUGAUUCUUCACAUGUGCUAAUAAUCAGGAUUAGUUAUAUGCUUGUGAUCCUGCACAUUUAAAUAAAAUGUUAGCAAACCCUAUUGUUCUUUAUAUACUUUGUUAUCAUCAAAACCUUUUAAGGGCAUAAUUUUUUUUCCAACACUCGUGAGCCAAUACUCCUUUGACAUCUUUUUUGGAAAUAAUGAUUACAGUCGGGUUUUCAUGUUCGUAUGAAAUCGACUUAUGUCUGAUAUGCAUCACUGUCUGGGCAUAUCUGUUCCUGGAUGAAUUGGCUUCUCCUCCUCUUGUGAAUCCUUCAGCAAAGGUGUUUAAUGUAUGAUGGGUUACUCAGGCUUCGUGGACCUCAUAUGUAUUCUUCCCAUUCUUUUACGGAGGAUUUUCCGAGAUGAUAUCCCCUUGGGAGGACUUCUCUUUUCCGACUGUCCUCCGACAUCUUUCGCAUAUGACAACAAAUGACCUCUCUGAAUUAUGAUCUUGAUUUCAUUUUGAGAUGAUGAAAAUCUUUCGUGUGAUGACCACGAAUUCUAUGGUAUGCACACCAUGCAUUCUCGUAUUUUCCCAUCACGACAUGGAUUCCUUUUGGACGCCCCGAGAUGGGGAGUAAUUUGAGAUGAUAGUCUUUUCUCAAAAUAUCUUCACUUCUGGAAUUCAGUGGCGUAUACUCGAUAUAUCUCUCAAAUGGUCGCCGAGAUGGUCUUAUUGUUGUCGGACCUCUAGGUUCGGGCUUAUGGUACUCCUUCAUAUGCCCGACUCCCUAUUCUUUAGCUCACAUUUUUUCCUCGGCGUCUCAAGAUCUCUUUUCCAUGUUACUCUCCUCCCUUUUGAUAUAUCAUUCUGCUUUGGUAAUAAUCUUAUCCAUGUUGGAUGCCAACUUUUGUGCUAGGGAUCCAUUGAACUACCCGACUUUGAGGCCAAGUUGAAAUGCCCCCACGAACAUCUCCUGGUUCAGAUGGAACACCUUAAUGGUUUCUUCAUUGAACCUCGCCAGAUACUCUCUGAGAGACUCCGAGUACCCUUGCUAGACACGUUGAAUAAACUGGUUGUCAACACUUUUCUAUGUCUGCUUACUGAAAAGUGUUGUACCAUCUCUUUAGUUAGGUUCUAGUAGCUAACGAUCGAGAAUCUGGGUAAACUCAUAUACCAUCGCAUAGCCCCUUCCUUUAAGGUACUUGCCAUGAGUUUACACUUAAGGGAGCCUGAAGCCCCUACUAUUGCCAUCUGAUUAUUGAUCAGAACAAUAUGCUUAUGUAGGUUAGUUUUACCAUCAAAAGAUACCAACCACGGUGGUUUGAAGUUCUCUGGAACUUGAUCAUCCCAAAUCGCCUCGAAUAAAUGUUGGGAAUCCAUAAGCUCUUCAUUUGCAUUCCCAUCCUGUUGGCUUUGUGUUUGCAAAAUAUGGAUGCUAUCUUGCAAUAUUUCAUUUUGUUGACAAAGAACCUCCACCAUUGCGAGCAAUUGGAUUAAAUUUGGUGGUGGAAGUGGAUCACUUCUGCUGGGAGAUGAUCCAGACAUCGCAAAGUGAGCGCCAAAUGUUCUUGCUAAAAAUACUAAAAGGUUGACUUCCCUGAUGCUAGUCAAGAAAAACCUCAAAUGAUUGGUUAAGUGUCUGUAAAUGUUUUUCUCAAGUAGUUAUUAUCUGCAUUUCCUCAUUUCUUGAUGUCCCUUAUAUAGGCUCAUUCCUCACCCCCGACAAUCAUGAAAAACCCUUUCCUCUUCCUUCUUGCAUUCAAAGCCAAGAAAAACCGUUGUCACUUUAUCAUUUAAUUUCACUUCUUCAUGGCUUGUAACAUCUGCUCCAUUAUGGUGUUGUUAUGACUUUUAAUUUUUUGAGACCGUUUCUAGAUGGUGGCCCUUCGUCCAACUAUUAUCUCAACUUAUUCAGGUUCCAUACCUGGCGACAUGAGGCUUUCCACCUCGGCCCAUCAAGACCCUCAACUCGGUAACGACUUCAUUAUAUCUCGGGUAUCCCUUAGGCGAAUUUGUGUUAUAGCUCUGGCUACUACCCGACUUUCUCCCGAACCAUCCCUACUCCAUUACAUGUUUCUUCUGAUUUUACACAUCGAAUGGUCAAAAUAAUUUUAGGAGUGUAUAUUUUUAACUAUAUUUUUUGAGUUAUUAUUAAUAUAUUAGUAUUAAUAAUAUAAAUUUAAUAAUAUUAAUCAUAUUUAGUUUCCUCUUUUAAAUAAUAAAAAUGAUUAAUAUUAUUAAAUUUUUAUUUAAAAUAUAAGAAAACAAUCAUAAAUUACUCUCUGUCGUAAAUUAUAAGUCACUUUGCCAAAAAUAUUUGUAUCAAAUUAUAAGUCACUUUAUCAUUUCAAUGCAAUAUUAAUGACUUUUUUUUCCAACAUAUCCUCUAUCAUUUAUUAUUAUUUUUUUCUUUUAAUUUUUUUAAUUUUUCUUUCAUCUAUAAUAAAUAAAAAGUAAUAUUAUAAAAUCAUGUAUAAUUUAUCUUUCUCAUAUAAUAAUCAUUAUGUUUUUUAAUUUAUGUAAAAUGUAUCGAAUGUCUUAUAAUUUUAAACGACAUAGGUAAUUGAUAUGAUGUUGAAUUAAAAAUUGUUCAUAUACACCUCCCAAAUCAUCCUUAUAUAUGCCAUAUCAUUAAAAAUUAUAUUCAAAUUAAAAAAAGAAUUAAAAUAAAAAAAAAACUUAAAAAUAGAUCAAAUUUUCGAUUUUUAAAAUAAUGAUAAAAAAAAUAGGAGAACUAAAUUAAACUUAUUUAUUUUAAGAAAUGAGGAGAAUUCAUAAGAUUAUUUUGCAUGCAAAAUGGCACUGCUAUGUAAUGUAAGAAAGAAAAAAGUGCAAAUUUCCUUUAAUUAUUUUAUUCACAUUCCUACCCACUCGUAACCAUGGUUAAAGAAACAAACCCCACAAACACGCACAUACUACAUCACUACACAAACAACACUCGCAUCUUUAACUCUUGCUCCUACACUUCACUUCAACUCAACACUCAAAGCAUCUCUCUCUUUCUUCCUCACUGCCAUCACCCAUUUUCCCAAAAUGGGUAAUCACUCUCUCUUCCUCCUCUUCCCUCUCCUCCUCCUCUCCAUCACCAGCACCAUCUUCGCCCACAACAUCACCGAAAUCCUCUCCGACAACCCUGACUACAGCCAAUACAACAACUUCCUUUCCCAAACCAAACUCGCCGACGAAAUCAACUCCCGUCAAACCAUCACAGUCUUAGUCCUCAACAACGCUGCAUUCUCUUCCAUCACCUCAAAACACCCCCUCUCCGUCGUUAAAAAAGUCCUCAGCCUCCUCAUCCUCCUCGACUACUUCGACAACUCCAAACUCCACCAACUCACCAACGGCACCACUCUCUCCACCACUCUCUUCCAAACCACCGGCAACGCUCAAGGAAACAUCGGAUCCGUCAACAUCACCGAUUUAAAAGGCGGUAAAGUAGGCUUCGGUUCCGCCACACCUGGAUCCAAACUAGAUUCAUCUUACUCCAAAUCCAUCAAACAAAUCCCUUACAAUAUCUCCGUUCUCGAAAUCUCUGCUCCGAUCAUCGCUCCCGGAAUCCUAACCGCUCCUCCUCCGUCUAGCGACGUUAACAUAACCGCUUUAAUAGAAAAAGCUGGAUGCAAAACGUUUGCGUCGUUAAUCCUAUCUAACGGUCUUAUCAAAACCUUCCAAUCAACUGCUGAUAAAGGUUUAACCAUUUUUGCUCCGAACGAUGAAGCUUUCAAAGCUGAUGGAGUUCCAGAUUUAACCAAACUCACCAACGCUGAAACGGUUUCGCUCUUACAGUAUCAUGCAGCUGCUAAAUAUCUUCCCAUUGGAUCUUUGAAAACUACUAAGGAUCCUAUUAGUAGUUUAGCUGCUAACGGCGCCGGAAAGUUUGAUUACUCAGUUUCCGUUGCCGGUGAUUCUGUUACACUUCACACCGGUGUUGAUUCCUCUAGGAUCGCGGAUACUAUUUUGGAUUCUACUCCACUUUCUAUUUACUCUGUUGACAGUGUGCUUCUUCCUCCUGAGUUGUUUGCUAAGUCGCCAUCUCCUGCUCCGGCACCGGAGCCUGCCGGUGCUCCUUCUCCAACACCUGCUUCUGCUCCCUCGCCGGUGGCUGAUGCGCCUACUCCAUUACCUGCCUCGCCUCCGGCUCCUGCUGGUGAGAGUCCAAGCGAUUCUCCGGCUGAUGCACCGUCGACUGCGGCGGAGCGUAGUAGCUCCGGGAAAUCUGCUGGUGUUCACGUGAAAGCUUCUGCUGCUCUCACUUUUACAGUGACUACUUUGUGUGCUUUUGUGAUUUCUUCUGUUUUCAUGUCCUGAUUUGUAAUUUUAGAGUGUUGUUGUUUUAUUAUUUUGUAAUUUAAAUUUAAAUUUUUGAGUUUUUUUUUCUCUUAUCUGAAUGUGAUUGGAUUAGAGAUCUUUAUUUCGUUAUAAAUUAAUUUAGGUAUGGACCGUUGUACGUGAAUGAUGCUUUGCUUUGAUUUUAAUUUUAUAGUACUCUAUUUUUAAUAUAAGUUUUUUAUUUUAAUACAGUGCAAUGUUAUUUAAUUUUUGUGUGGUAGUGGGAGUGGUGUAGUUUUGUGGUGUGGUGCGUUCUAUAAUGAUUUUUGCCUUUUUGGACGUUAUUUUGUUUGUGAGUGAGCAGCUGUGAGCUCCAUGAUCGUGAUUGGUGAAGGUGAGAGAAGGCACAUGGUGGGGUCAUGCAUGUUACCUUUGGUGAGGACCACCAUAUUUUGUUGUGUUUAACGGAACACAAACUCAGAUCUGAUUUUGAUGACUGUGCGGCGAAUGGGUUUUCAAUUUCCAACAAUUUUUUAGGUACUAUGAUUUAAUCACUAAAGUACCCCGCCUUCUCCAAUUUAGUAUAAAUAUAAGUACACUUAAACAGCCAAGCUAGUAGUCUUGCAUGGAUAUCCAAUUUUAGGGGUAUCUUAUUUACCUAGAAAAAUAAAAUUUUAGUUGCGAUAUCUUAUUUAUUUAUUUUAAAGAGAUUUUAUUUUUACUUUUUGAGUGAUUUAUUUAAAAUAAAAAAAAUAUUUUAAAAUAAAUGAUCAAUUUCAAUUUUUAAUGUAUAUUUUUCAAUUAUACUAUCAUAUAAUUAAUAUUACUUUUAUUGUUUUUAAUAUUUUAUAAAAGGGUAUUGUUUUUAAUAAACACCUUUUGAAUAAUCUCCCUUGGACGAAAUCGCAAAUGUAUGGUAAUUUAGGUGAUACUUCUUGCUUGUCCUUUCUUUCUUAUGUUGAAAGUCUUUUAGGUGAUACUUCUUGCUUGUCUUUUUUUUUCUUAUGUGGGAAGUCUUUAUACUCGUCUUUAGGAUCAUUAAAAAGUGUCUUCUCAAGUUCCAUAUUAAAUGAUAGCCAUAACGUCGUUGCUCUCAUUGUUAUCAUGUAAUGUCCUCUUGAUCACUUUUCGUAACUCCCAUGAAACCUUGAAACUACCUCAUAGCCGUUAUGCCGAUCUAUACAUGUCGUUCAAAAAUACAUCUCUAAUAACCUUAUAGUCUGGGCUCCAACUUGUUUCAUUUAUAGCAACUCGACACUUUGUAAUUCUCUACAAAUACUUGGCAUAUUGACUCUCCAUAAUGGGGAUCAGUGACUUAUAACUCGACUUUGAGAAUUUCGAGACAUACAUAAGCCCCCUGACCACGAGACCUAACAUGAUGAAGUGUUUGAAUAGAGAAUCCUAGAAUUAUUUUCUUCUUGAAUUAGGUCCUACUUCCGUCUCACGGCCACCUUUAUGGUUUGCUAACGUGUGAGUGGGUUUUUUUAAAGAAUAAUAAUGAUGACCAUCUUGUCACAUUUCUUCCCUCUCCUUGUCACGAUGACUUUUAUAGGGAAUCCAAUCACUAUCAUGACUCUAGCUCGAUAGGGUUUGUUGACUGUUGUAAAAUAUAUUUCCAUAAAACCCCUACCCUCUUUGUUCCUUUGCUCAUCUUUUUCGACCCUUGUUUCUUUUCUUCAAGAUUUAUUGACCAUGUUUUUGCGCUUCUGCAAAUCGCUUUUGUAAACACAAGUCACAGGUAUUACUUCUUUGCCUUACUUAAUCUUACUUUAUUCUUUUAUCAUGGUUAUAAUACGCGAGUGUGAUGAUUUGGGGAAUGUAUCGACUCCCCUCAAUGCCCGAGAGAGAAGGAAACUCUAGGAUGAAUGCUUGAGAGAUUGCGAUGGCCAUCUGGGGCAACUAGAAUUUGAUCAAAUUAUUAAGGAAGUUUAUGGUAACAUUUCUUCACCUUAUAGAAAAACUGAUUGAAAAUCUUUGUCGUCAGAUUAUGUGGGCAGUAUGAUGGAGAUGACAUGAUCUUUUAUUGACAAGGAAGUCCUAAGCUAUGACCAUAACACACUUGACGAUAACUAUAUUUCAAAACUCCGAUCUAACAGACAAAUUUCUUCAACCGGGAAUGAAGAAGAUGUUGUGCCGGAACCUUGUGCGGUUGGUGAAAGAGUUUGCAUCACUCGACCAAGGGGAGUAUUAAGCGAAUAUUUUUAUUUUUAUUCAGGGGCAAUCAAGGAUUUUAAGACUAGUAUCCCUAUUAAUGAUUUUGAAUUCGAUCUCCUUAAAACUUUAAACAUCUCCCAUUCUCAACUACGUCCAAAUGAAUGGGGUUUUAUUAAAGCUUUUGAACUUGUUUGUGAGGUGUAAGACCCCAAUUUUGACCCUAAGAUCCCUCAUGAAAUUUCAUCAUAAGCACUAGCAUUGGGAUCAUACCUUGGCAUCCUCCUUACCCCUCUUUCAUUGAGUUUGUUUUGGGAGAGAUCACUAAGCACUUUGUGAUUGUAUCAUACUUGUAUUUUAUCAUUUUACUAACCAAAUAACAAAAAUAUGUCUUUGCAUUUUGUCUAACUCUUUUGUAGGAAGGGCAUGAUUCCAUGGAUUCAUCAAGUUCACAUCUAGGGUUUGGGACCCUCAUGAACAAAAAGCACAACCAAGAAUUGAUUCAAUAAUGUUUAUAAGCAUUAUAUGAGUCCCAAUGUUCUCUACAUGUUAUAUUGAUAAAGUUUUCUUCAAGAGUUUGAGGGUGAUUUGCCUUGGAAACCCUAGUUUGACUGAGUAUCUUGAGUAACUUCUCCAACAAACUAUCUCACCAAUUGAUCAAAUUUAUCAAGGGACACAUCAAAAUUCAUCAUCUUAUGCAUAUAUGAUCUACCAUGAGCCAAGAAAGUCAAGAGAAUUGGAAGUUAGCAAGUUGGUUGAUGGUGGUUAGCCAGAUGGAUUCAUCUGAUCAAAACUGGGUCUCCCUAGACCCUAUCUCCUACAAUUUCACCAUAUGAAAAUGAUUCCAAGAGAAAACAUACUCUAAAUGACAUUCCAAACAACUUUCAUGUUGAGACCUAGGUCUAUUUUUGCUUGUAAAAUCAUUUUUCUAUGUUGAAACAUUAUAGGUCAUUUUGUCUAAACCCUAAUUUGAAAGUCAACUUCCCAAGGCCAUAACUUGCUCAAUUUUUAUGAGAUGAAAUAUUUCUAAGUUGCACAAUCAAAUUCAACGUGUCUACUUAAACUUUUAUGUUUGGAGUGGGAGCUAAUUCAAAUUCUUUGAGCAUGUGAUAUGAGGUUACAUUAUAGGUCACUUUUGGCCUAUACCAUUGAUCAAGUGAUUUUUCCAAACUUCAAAAAUACAUAACUCUAUCAUUUCAAAUCCAAAUGACAUGAAAUUGGUGACCAUUUUGAAGGUCUUUGAAAGAGAUAUAACUUUGAUGAAUACACUUUUCACAUUUGAAGCUCAAAUAAAAAGUUAAGCAAGGUAGAAUAUUGAGACAUAUGGCUUGACACUUAGAAAAAUUUUGAUAUGUCAAAAAUUUCUAAACUUCCACCUGAAAUUUCUCUAAGUUGCAAGCUCCAAAUGAAAAAGUGUUGAACAUGAAAGUUGUUCCUCUUGAUCUCACCUUUCCAAAGAGCUCAAAUUCAUUCAUUUUGGACAAGGAAUGCAUAGGUUGUGCAUGGAAUGAACAUGGUGACAUCACUUGGCAAGGAUCAAACUUCAAAUCCAAAUGCACACUUGCCUUGCAAUCCAAGCUGAAUUUAGACUAUCUAACAUUCAUUUGUGGACUUAUGGCAAUGAUUUUAUGGGCCUAUGCGUGCCCAUGCAUCCAUGCAUCAUCAAUGACCAAAUUUGGAAAGUGAUUUCAAGUGUGCAAAUAUCAAUGGUUUCAGCUAUAAAUAGAGCCUCAUAUGCUCAGCAAUGAAGACACAUUCGCGCCAGCUUUGAUCCCCCAUCUCUAACCCUCACUUUGCAAAGGAUAAACCUGAGAAAUUCAUUUGCAUUUGAGGUUGAAUUUCCACUAUUUUGAAAUUCAAAUCUCCAGGAAUCCACAGCCUUUUAAGCAUCCAAUCCUUCUUCUGCAAGCAAGUGGAGUGAGAUCAAGCACAAGCAAGAUCAAGAUCAGUUGAAUCCAGACCUCCAUUGAAGGUAUUUUCCAGAAUUUUUGAUCUCUUCGAUUUUCUCAAGUUCUUGCUCAAUUCUAUUGAUUCUUUGGUUGUCUGAAGUCCUACCAAUGUAGGCAAGAAGAUUGAGUUGCUUUAAGGCCAAAUCGAAGCAACUCAGUUCAUGUACCUCAAAUUUCAACUCGAUGUAUCUCUCAAUAUAGUUGGAGUUAGAGUGAAUUGAGGCCAGAUUUGAGCUCAGUGCCAUUUUUACUUUGAAAUCAUGUUCUUGUUUUUAAUUUUGGUGAUGGUUGAUUGUGGACCAGUCCGGUGAGGUCCACCGGAGAAGAAGACCGGAGCUACAGCUCCGGCGAUGUGUUGGCAUCUCUCACAGCCAUAGGAUCCAUCUCAUUUGUUUUAAUCUGGUUCGUUCCUUUUGAAUACCAUGCCUAUUGCGCGUUGAAUCGUGUGCACGGUGGAACGCGUGUUUCUGGCCACUUGAUUUGCCACCUCAAUUAAUAAGGGAGAUCAAGUAGUCCACGUUUUUUCUGAUAUUUUAAUUUUCAUUUUUAUUGCAUUAUUUUCAAUAAUUCAUAUUAAAUUCAAUAUUGAUCCAAAAAACAUGGGACUUUCACAAAAAAAAUUCAAAUAUUUUUCUCUUUCAUAUUCUGAACUAAAAUUAUUUUUUGGAUCAUUAUUAAUAUUUUUUAUGAAUUAAUUGAUUUUGCAUUUGUUUUUAAUUGUUUAAAAAUAUUUUUAAAUGUCCAAAAAUUAUGAUUUUUUUUCUCCAAGGGCCUUUGACCUUGUUUGACCUAUGAUAAAUCUCAUGGCCAUUUCUUUGGUGUUUUGAUGAGAUUUUAGGAAUUGGACAAACCAUAUUUAAUUUAAAUGCACUAUUUUAGUAUUUUUAUUUGAAUAAAUGCCAAAUAAAUUUGUUGACCAAUUGUGAUGACUGUUUAUAUGUUUAAUCUUGUUGUGGGCCUUGGUCAAGGUUGAUUUAACUUGUCAAAUUAAUAUCAUUAGAUUUAGGGGAUGAUGAACGUACAUUCCAUCUCCCAAAAUGAAUGGAUGAUAUUAAUUUGGUAAAAGUCCUCAUUGAACAAUUGUGAUUUAAUUCAUUCCCCCGCCCCCCCCCCCCCCCCCCUCCACCCCCACUUCAUCUUAUUCCCUUUCUUCAUUAAUUCAUUCCAUUUGGCAUAUGACAUCUCAAAGUCCUAUGCUAGUUGAUUGAAAAAUUGACAUGAGUAUGGAUGAGAUUAGGCCACACCUUUUGCAUAUUCUUUUUUGUGUGGUAUGUUUCAUGAGCAUAGUCCAUUAUACUAGGUAUCUAACAUGCAUUAAACAACCAAAAUUCUAUUGCCCGACCUCAAAUAGUUGUGACUUCUAACAUAAGUCCAAUUACGAUUACUUAACAUAACGCUAAAUUUGUGACAUAAAGGCAUAAGCAUUCUAGUUAGUGGAGAUUGUAAGUCUCCACUCUUUCAUGGUAUUGGUGUGGAAACUUGGUCUUCUUUCCUUUCCUUUGGAAGAUAUUUUUGGUUCAAGGAUUCAUGCUUGUGAUAAAGUGGGUUGAGUGUUCUCCAAAGAAUGUCUGUGAAAUGUAAAAGUAAAAGCAAAAGCAAUACCUAACUUUCUAACCAUUACUACUAACUUUUAUUUCAAGCCUUUACAUUAAUGCAAUUUAGUUUUAGCACUCUAUUCAUUUUCCAUUUUCAUAUCAUUCUAAUUGUUUAUGUUAAUGUAAUUUUUCACUUUGUCCAUUUGGACCAUAUUGUGUUGAUAUAUCUUGUUUGUGUAUACUUUGCUGUUUGUAUGUCUUUGACCAUUAUGUAUAUAUAAUAACAAAAACCCUAAAAAAACUUUUGUGUGGACUGUUGGCUUGAUCUUAGACAAUAGACUUAGAAUCUAGGCAACCUUCCUAUGCUAAAGGACUUGGCCAAUGACAACUUGUUGAGAAACUAAGAGCUUGCAAUUUGAAACUUCAUUUGAUACAUCAUUCAAGAUCUCUCUAAGUUAUCUGUAACAUGAUCAUUGUGAAGCUGUUAUUUGAACUGUGACUUGUGGAAUUCAUCUGUUACAUGGGCUAUAUUGGAGAAGAUCAUGGAAUGGAUAAGCUUGGAUGUGGCCAUCUUAUUUGAUGCCUUGCUCUUCAAGAUAAUAUAUUUUGCAUUUGUGUGUUGCUUGAUUCUAAAAGUCCAGGAAUUCUGGGUUUCUAUUGACAUUCUUGUCUAUUGGAUUGCUACCAUUUGUCAGAUCUUUUCAACUCUAACUUUUAUUUUGUACAUAGGAUAGUCUCUUCAUCUCCUCCCCAUUUCUUUAAUUUCAAAAUCUCUCCCUCAUUUUUCAAAAUCUUCUUUGUGUGAACCAUUUUGUUCUAAACUUAGACCACUUUUGCAAAAAGAUAGAAAACUUUGGCCUUAUGCCAUUGCAUUUUCAAACUUCUUUCUUAAAUCAAACUUGUAAAUAGACUUAAACUAUACUUGACUUAAACUUUCAAAAAUCCAAAAAAGAAUUAACUCAUUCAAACCAUUUUUUUGGCCUUUGUGCCUUUCAAACUUAAUUUUGUUAAAAAAAUGCAUAUUUGAAUUUUGUAUCACGAACUACGAGGUUUUGAUCCCUCAUUUUUAUGUUGUACGUAGGCACAAGACGAAGGUCUUGCAAACACAAAAAUAUAAUUAAUGAAUUCUUUUCUCAUCCCCCCAUUCUAUUUGUUGUAAACAUCACUUUGUACCAAAUACAUAUGCACACAAAAGGGCUCCCUAGGAGUACUAGGACACUUUGGGUGCUAACACCUUCCUUCUGUGUAACCAACCCCCUUACCUGUAAUCUCUGACAUUUUAUUAGUUUUGAUUUGAAAACUUCUUACUUUUUGGGUUUUGUUCGUACUUUUUCCCCUUUCCCUUGGAAACAAUAAAAGCGCGGUGGCGACUCUUGUUAUUUGAUCUCUAGCUUGAUGAUCAUGAAUUUCCCGCUACAUGAGGCAGUGAACAUAAUCCCUAUUUUAGAUUUGUUCUUAUCUUUCUUCGAGCUGAAAGGAGCGGACAAAGGAGGUUGGGUUUCCUUUAGUUGGAUCAUAAGUAAAAGUUUCUUCUAUGCUUAUACUACUAACUACAUGAAGGUAGAGAAAAACAAGAAAUGGGGGUUUGAAUUAUUUUGGAAAAUAAAACUUUUUAAGAAUUUGGACACACUCAGAAUAAAAAGAAUUUGUCACAGAAUUUUAUACUGGUUUGCUUGAAAUUCAAAGUUACUCCAUUCCACCCGGACAAGGUGAUUUCGCCUUCAAAAAGGACUUAAUCCACUAAUCUUGAAAGAUCACACAAACAACCGUCUAAGAGAAUAAUCCCUUAGCCCUCUCAAGUAUUCAGACUUCACAGAGUCACUUGAGGAAGUAUCUUAGUAAUGAUAUGAUUUAUAAUGCACAGUGCCUCUAACAAUAAGCAAAUAUUACAGAUAUAUAAGAACAACAAUUUUCACGUAAAAGCAGCAGCUCGUGAAAGAGUGAAAGGAGAUGAUUGAGAGAUUUGCAUUCUUGUGUGUCUGAGGUGUAUUUUUCUUGAACGACAUUCCAUCCUUUAUAUAGGAGUUUGAGAGGACCGUUGGUUGAUGACGGAAUCUUGGACAUUGAAGAAUGAUUAAUGUCAUUACUCUCCUUGUUUCUUUCCAAAACAGUUUUGGGUGUGUCAUAAUUUCCUUCUAGAAAUAGUUUCUUUCUAAAUGUAGAUUUCUUCACGGUUACAUUUUCUGAGUCAGCGAAUCCUGUAUUCAGAGUCUUGUUUUGCAAUGUUCGUCUUUAGAGGGUACUUCUAUCUGAUUGAAUCAGAGUUUCUCUUAAAUCUUGACGUCUUCAGAUUGUCCGUCUUCAGAGUCUGCAUUUAUUCUUCUCUUUCAGAGUUUCUGACUUCUUUCGUUUUGCUAGCGCUUGUUUUAGAGUCAAAACCUUUUGGUCACGUAUCCUCUGAGUAGCAUCUAACGCUAGAUUCUAUAUCUGAUGAUUUAUCUAUCUGAUUGUUUGAUCAGAGCCCUACACACUUAAGAAAUUUUUUGUUAGGGUACCAUUUUAGUUUCAUCCUUUGUUAUCACCAAAAUCUUAAAGAUACAUUAUAGAACCAACUUUGUUCUUAUAAUCUCCCCAUUUUUGAUGAUGACAAAACAAGACAGUGUGGAGAUGAAACAGUACGAAAAAAUCUCAGAGCAGAUAAGGAAGGGGACUCCCCCUAAGUUAGAUCAUUAAAUUUAACAUAAGUUCUUACCGGACCUUCUUUGGUUUAGUGCUUUAGAUAUUUUCCUGCAUAUCUUUAGUCAUCAGUUUAAUAAUAUUUAUUAAUGUUUGCAGUGCCUUGAGAGGUUUUAGUUAUGUUUCCAUCAGAGUUGUUUUAGUUCUCCCCCUUUUUGUCAAAAUAAAAAAGACACAAGAAAAACAUAGGUAGGAAUUUGAUAUUCAUAAAGGGAAAAUAGGUACGCACAUGUAGUAAAAAACAUAUAGAUCAGAAGGUAAAAAGAUCAGAGGUAAAGCAACAAUCAAAUAGCCUAGGUGCCUAAGGGUUUAAGGGCGGAGGCAUCCUUUGGAGCAGCUAAGACAACAUGUUCUAAAUGUUGAUGUUGACGGAAUCCUGUUGAUCCAGCCUAACUCGAACCACUUGUUGUUCCUUUUGCAGUUCCUCCGGAGUGUUUAAGACCAGAGGGGAAAACCCAGAGUUGGAUUUCUCCCCCUGAGUCAAAGCAUUAGAUCUGGCCUUGGCAGCUUCCUCUGCAGCAACACGUACUGCUUCUUCAGCUUCGGCUAGAGCUUUUGCCUCGGCCUCAGCAGCAGCAGCAACAACCUUUUCUUCAGCUUCUCUGAUCCUCUGUUCUUCUUCCAGGCGAGCUUUCUCUUCUGCUUCCUUCCUAGCCUGUUCCUCAGCCUCUCUGUCCAGGCGAUCUUGGAGCCUUAUACCAGCAUCUCUGAUGAAGUCGUUGCGGACUUGUUUAGAGAGGCCUUUCAGUUUGAAGGCUUCAGAGGUCAUCUAGCUAAUCACUCUGUUCCAGUGGAUCCUUACUUCAGAGGGAUCAUCGCUGAUGCCAGAGUUGAUAGUCAGAGACUUGAUCUUCUCUACUGAAGACUCUGCACAAACUUUUAUUGCUUCUUUUAGGGUAGGGAAGGCAGUGUCUGGUUCAGUGGUAGAGGCUAGGGAGUAUGGAGAAGGUGAAUUGAUGUCACCAAGAUUUAGAGUGGGAGCGAUGGAGGCAACAUAGAUUGGUGGUGUUGGAAAUAGCAUAGGGGGACGGUGUUGUUUUUUCAGGUUGUGGAUUUGGUUCAGAUAGUGAGUGGAUUGGUUGAGCUUCAGAAGGUGGAUUUGGUUGUUGUGCAGGUGGUGGUGUUUGAGGCUGUUCAGAUGUAGUUGGAUUUUGUUGUUCAGGGGGUGGGGAAGCGACUUAUGGUUCAGGUUCAAUGUGUGAUGGCUGUUGAGAGGCCAGAGCACGAGCUUGUAGCUGAGCCAGAGUGGGGGAUUGGGGGUCAGAUGGUUCAUUGUCAGAGGAGAGUACAUAGUAUGGUGGGGAUUGAGGUGAGGAUGAUGAUGAUGGUGAGGUAGUUUCAUUCAACAUUUCUACUUCAGAAACAGGUAGCGUGGUGGUAGCAAGGUUGAAUUUUAGUGAGGGUGGGUUAGAGGUUCUGGUGGUUGAGGGGGGUGUUUCAGAUGAGGUGUAUAUUGGAGUGGUUUGGGGAAGAGAAGAAGCAAUAGGUUUGAUUUUAACAGAGCGGGAGAGAGGUAUAAACUUACUUGGAGAGCCAGCCAGAGGGACUAGAGGUCUUGACCCAGAAGAUUCUCCCAGCUUUGCUUUCUUUGCCUUCUUGGACUUCUCAGAGGGCUCUCGCAUCCUCUUCAUGAAGUUUGGUGGAUGCUCAGGUAGCCAAUCUACUGAGAACUCAGAGAUGUCCACCCCUUGAUUGGCAAGAUCUUAUAGAUAGUAAGCUACCACUUCUGGAGGGUCAAUCUUGGAGAACAGAUAGAGUCCAUUGGGAAUCUUCCUCUGAUCCUUGAGUGCUUCCUAGGAGGUGUUUAGUGUUGGUUUAGCUCUGACUUGAUGAAUGAUCCCCAUACUCUUCAGAUUCCGAGCAUUCAGCGGUCUCCCAAUGUCAAUAGUGACAUCUUCCAUUAGUCUGAGAUGGAUCAGGUGAUCCACUAAGCCACUCUCGAUUAGAACAUCUGAGAUAAGUCUUCCCAGAGGGAUGUAGUUUCUGGUCUUCAUUUUGUUUCUGGUAUCUUUGAUGGAGUCUCAGAGAUACUUGAAGAGUAGUGCUGGCAGACACAAUUUAAGCCCUUUGUGGAUGCAGUAUAGAAUACACUUCUGAUCUGUGUUGAUGUAGUCAGAAGAGUUUGAUACAGGGCGAUGAUGAAUGGUGUCUAGGAUGAUCUUCAACCAGACACGAAGGUUUUGAUGGAGCUCCUUGUUCUUGGAGUGUUUACCUUCAGCACUCUGUUGGAAGAUAGUGGGAUUGAUUUCUUGGGACAAGUAUUUUGCCCUAGGGUUGAUGUUGUAGAUGCGUCUUCCUCCUGUCUUCUCCAUAUUCAAAAGAGAGGCAAUAGAUUUCUAAGUGAUGACUAUCUUGACUCUCAGAACAAGAGAGACGAUGUAGUGUUCAUUUGAGUCUGCAAAAUGCCAGAACUCCUUCACCAGGUAUGUGUACACAGGGCCAUAGAGUCUUUGAAAGUAGGUUUCCCACCCUUGCAUCCUUAACUCUUCAGUUAGGUCUACGCCAUUUUUCUUCAUGUUUUCAAAAUCCACUAGCGACUCACACAGUACUUCAAGCUUUUCAAACGGUGUUGCUAGGUGGAUGUGGGGUUCACGAUCAAGAAUAUGAGGUUCCCUGUAGAUGGGGGUAGAGACGACACCAGUGGUUGCUAUUGUUUGUUGAGUAGAAAUGGGUGUCUGCUCCGUUGAGUUCAUUUGUUAAGAGAAGUUGUAGACAAAUUUUUGUUGAGCAUCCAUGACGAACAAGGUUUAAGAUGAAGGUUGAAUGAAAAACUUGAUGAAGAAACUGUAGAAAUCUUGAAGAUGAUGAAGAACUGAGAGAGAGAAAUGGUUUAGUGUAGACGUGAGUGUAAAGUGUGAUAUUGUAAUGUGUGAAGAGGUUAUAUACCCACAAAGAUGCAUGCAAAAUGACAACAUUAAGAGUAGUUUAAUUGUUAAAUAAUUAAAUGCAACACGUUAACCAAGUUUGCACGUUUGGAGGAGAAUGAUUAUAGCCCAUGAUGGAGGUCUAAUCCCCAAAUCAGCACACUGCUCGAGGAGAUUUCAAGAGCUUGUCUCUUGAUUUCUGCUAGACAGCUGUCUAGAAGUUUCAAGGUCAUACGCAUGAAGCUCCACAUGUUACUUUAUCUGAUCUUCAGGAAUACCAAAGGGUUGGGUCCUGAGGAUUUCUGAUUCAGAUGACUCAUAACUGGUAGAAGCAUCAGAGUCAGAUCCAGAUACCAGAUGUUUUAAUUCAGAGUCUUAUUCUGCUAUUUCAGAGAAGCACAUUUAUUCUGGAUAGAUUUGAAUGUUUAAAUUUCUCAAAAUAAAAGAGAAUUUGUCUUCAACGAGGGGUUUAGUAAAUAUGUCAGCCCAUUGAUGGUCUGUAUCAAUAAAUUUUAAGGAUAUUACCCCUUUCUGAACAUAGUCUCUAAUGAAAUGAUGUUUUAUUUCUAUGUGCUUAGCUAUGGAAUGUAGAAUAAGAUUCUUACUUAAACAAAUGGCAACAAUAUUAUCACAGAAAAUAGGGACGUUACUCUCAAAGAUCAGAAGGUCUUCAAGUUGAUUUUUCCUCCAGAGCAUCUGAGUAGUGCAGAGUGACGUUGAUAUAUAUUCUGCUUCUGCAGUGGAUAGAGCUAUGGUUGAUUGCCUUUUGCUGACCCAAGAUAUAAGGUUAUUUCCCAAGAGCUGACAGUUUCCAAAUGUACUUUUACGUUCCAUUCUUUCCCCCUGCAUAAUCUGCAUCAUAAUAACCAGAGAGCCUAUACUCUGAUGUUUUCUCAUACAUCAGGUCAAGCUUAGGGGUUCCUUUAAGAUACCUGAGGAUUCUUUUAACAGUUGUUAAAUGAGAUUCUUUGGGAUCUGAUUGGAAUCUGGCACAAAGACAUACACUAAACAAAAUAUCAGGGCGAGUAGUCGUUAGAUAGAGAAGAGAGUCUAUCAUACCACGAUAAAUCUUCUGACAAACCUUCUGGCUAAUUUCUUCUUUCUCCAGAAUGCAGGUUGGAUGCAUUUGUGUCUUAGCAAGUUUGCAUUCAGCCAUUUCGAAUUUCUUCAGAAUGUCUUUUAUGUACUUACUUUGAUAAACGUAGGUAGCUUCUGAAGCUUGAUUGAUUUGAAUUCCUAUAAAGAACUUUAGUUCUUGCAUCAAGCUCAUUUCAAAUUCUGCCUGCAUUAACUCAGAGAAUUCUUGACAUACAGAGGGGUUAGCUGAACCAAAAAUAAUGUCAUCAACAUAUAUCUGGCAUACCAUGAGAUCACUUUUAAUGUUUUUACAGAAGAGUGUAGAGUCAACCUUUCCUCUAAUAAAAUUAUGUUCCAGAAGAAAGUUAUUUAGUCUUUCAUACCAAGCUCUAGGAGCUUGUUUUAAACCAUACAGUGAUUUAUUAAGUUUAAAAACGUGUUCUGGACAUUUAGAGUUUUCAAAACUUGGAGGUUGAUUGACAUAAACUUCUUAUGAUAUAUAACCAUUAAGGAAUUCACUCUUGACAUCCAUUUGAUAUAGUUUCAUUGAAUGAUUCACAGCAAAUGAAACAAGUAGGUGAAUAGAUUCUAACCUAGCGAUUGGGGAAAAGGUUUCGUUGUAGUCAAUGCCUUCUUGUUGACUGUACCCAUGUGCCACCAGUCGUGCUUUAUUUCUUACUACUUCUCCCUUUUUGUUCAGUUUAUUUCUGAACACCCAUCUGGUUCCGAUAAUGUGAAUUCCUUUAGGCUUUGGGACGAGAUCCCAGACGUCAUUCUUUGAGAAUUGAUCUAGCUCUUCUUUCAUAGCCAGAACCCAGUCAUUGUCUUGAAGUGCCUCAUCACAGAAAGUAGGUUGGAUUAGAGAUACUAAUCCUAGAGGAGUUUCUUCAGAUACUUUGAAUGUUGACCUAGUUCUGACAAGUUCAUCCAUGUGCCACCAGUCAUGCUUUAUUUUUGACUACUUCUCCCUUUUCAUUUAGUUUGUUUUUGAACACCCAUCUGGUUCCGAUAAUGUGAAUUCCUUUAGGCUUUGGGACGAGAUCCCAGACGUCAUUCUUUGAGAAUUGAUCUAGCUCUUCUUUCAUAGCCAGAACCCAAUCAUUGUCUUGAAGUGCCUCAUUACAGGAAGUAGGUUUGAUUAGAGAUACUAAUCCUAGAGGAGUUUCUUCAGAUACUUUGAAUGUUGACCUAGUUCUGACAAGUUCAUCCUUGUUUCCUAGAAUCAAAUCUUCAGAGAUGUUGGGGUAACUUCUUGAUCUUUUCUGGAUAGUUUAGGCUUCAGUUUCAUCUGGCUUUUGUCUAUCAGAUACUUUUGGUGCUUUAGUCUUUUCGUUAAAGCCUGCAAGAGUGAUCUCUAAAUCUGCAAGUUUCUCAACUAGCUUUGACUUUUCAGGGUCAAGCUUAUCAUCAAAUCUAACAUGUAUUGAUUCUUCCACAAUUUUGGUUUCUGUGUUGUAUACUCUGUAGCCUUUAGAGCGUUCUAAGUAUUCUAACAUAAUACCUUUUUGUGCUUUUGAAUCAAACUUGUUUAGAUGUUCUUUAGUAUUAAGAAUAAAACACGAGCAUCCAAAAGGAUGGAAAUAAGAAAUGUUGGGUUUUCUUCCCUUACACAGUUCAUAGGGAUUCUUUUCCAGAAUAGGUCUUAUAGAGAUUCUAUUCUGAAUAUAACACGUUGUAUUUACUGCUUCAGCCCAAAAGUGCUUAGCCACAUUUGUUUCAUUGAUCAUGGUUUUGGCCAUCUCCUGGAGUGUCCUAUUCUUCCUCUCUAUAACUCCAUUUUAUUAUGGAGUUCUAGGACAAAAAAAAUCAUGGGAUAUUCCAUUAGAAUCAAAUAGUUCCUCAAAAAAUUUAUUCUCGAAUUCGCCACCAUGAUCACUUCUGACUCUGAUGAUUUUAGAGUCAAAUUCGUUUUGCACUUUGGAACAAAAGCUAGUGAAUACAGAGUGAGACUCACUCUUGUGCUUUAGGAAUUUUACCCAUGUCCAACGACUAAAAUCAUCAAUAAUAACUAGUUCAUACUUCUUUCCAUUGACUGACGUUGUCUUAACAGGCCCAAACAGGUCAAUGUGAAGAAGUUCUAGAGGCUUAGAGGUAGAAACAAUAUUUUUCUUUUUAAAAUAUGUUUUUGAAAAUUUACCUUUCUGACAUUCCUCACAUAGAGCUUCUCAGUUUAGGUAGGCCUCUGGCUAACUCGAGUUUAUUUAGAUGAGAGAGUUUUCUCAUGCUAAUGUGGCCCAAGCGUCUAUGCCAUACCCAUUGCUCUUCAUGAACAGACAUCAGACAUUUUACAUUUUGAUCUUUUAGGUCUGAAAUAUUUAUUUUGUAAAUAUUGUUUUUCCUCUUGCCAGUGAAUAGAACUGUUCCAAUAUUCUGAUUAAUUGCUUUACAUGUUUUUUGAUUGAAGAUUACAUCAUAACCAUUAUCACUUAAUUGACUUAUUGAUAACAGGUUAUGCAUUAAUUCUUCAACAUAGAGAACAUCAGAUAUAGAGGGAAGAGUUCCAUUACCAAUAGUUCCGGAGCCUCUGGUUCUUCCUUUCUGAUUUCCUAUGAAACCUACGAAGCCAACAUCUUUAAGUUCCAAGCUUUGGAACAUAUACUUUCUUCCCGUCAUGUGUCGCGAGCAUCCAGAGUCCAGGUACCAUGAUUGGUGUCUUAACUCUGCUGGUAUUCUAUAGACGUUGUAUUUGUUAGAAUAGGAAACCAUGGGUGAAUCUUUUGGGUCCUUUGUGAUUAGUUUUCCCAGAGUUUCUUAGAACUUUGGGUUUUCUAGCAUUAUCAAAACGUUGUGCUUUUGUAUGUGUGUAGUGAUAAGAAAAAAGAGAUUUAGGUUUGUCAUCUGUAGAAGACUUAUCUUCACUGGGGACAUACCCUAUUCCUCUUUUAUUAUUCUGACUUACUCCAUAAAUCAUGGAUGCCAUUCUGCUUCUUUCUAUCCCAUUUUUCAGAAACUUUUGAAAAGAUUUUUCAUAUUCAUAUAUUAUUGUGUUAGAAGUUUGUGGGGCUUGAGAUAACGCUUCUUCAAGUUUUGAACACUGUUUAUUUGUGGAGUCUCUUUCUUUUAUCAAAGUUUGGUUUUCAUCUUUUAGUUCUGAAACUGUCAUCUCAAGCUUAUCACAUUCUUCGAUGGUUCCUUCAAGAACCUCUUUUAAAGCUUUGAAUUUUUGUUACAGUUUCUGAUAUAAGUUUACAGUUUCAGAAAGGCAUGAUUCAAGGUUAGAGCGAGAAAGAUCAAUAAAAUACUUCUUCAGAAACAGAUUCUCCAUCUGAUGUAUUUCUGGAGGUGGUAGCCAUGAGUGCAACAUUUGCCUGUUCUUCAGAGUCUGAUUUGGAGGAAUCAGAUCCACUAUCGUCCUAGGUGGCCAUCAAUCCCUUUUUGGUUUUGAAUGAGCUUUUCUUGGAACCUUCUCUUUUGGAGCUUUCUUUCUUCAGCUUGGGACAUUCGUUUCUGUAAUGACCUGUUUCCUUGCAUUCAUAGCAUGUUAUUUCUUUGUUUGACUUAUCUCUGGAAGUUGAUUCUGAGCGAUCUCCCUUGGGUCUUGGUCUUCUGAAGUUAUUAUUCCUUUUUCUCCAGAGUUGUUUUACUCUUCUGGUCAAAAGGGAUAACUCUUCUUCGUCGUCAGAGUCUAUGGAAGUUGAUUCUGAGCGAUCUCCCUUGGGUCUUGGUCUUCUGAAGUUAUUAUUCCUUUUUCUCCAGAGUUGUUUUACUCUUCUGGUCAAAAGGGAUAACUCUUCUUCGUCGUCAGAGUCUUCCUUUUUAGAGUCGUCAUUGUCUUCCUCUUCAGCUUGGAAGGCUUUGUUUCUUUCUGGUUUGCAUCUUUCAGAUCUGGACUUUAGUGCUACAGACUUGAUCUUCUUUUGAGGCUCAUCUUCCUUAAGUUCUAUCUCGUGACUUCUGAGUGAACUGAUGAGUUCCUCAAGGAUGAUAUUAUUCAGAUCUUUUGAUAACUUUAUUGUUGUGACCAUGAGUCUCCACUUCUUUGGCAAGCUUCUGACUAUCUUUUUGACAUGAUCUGCAGUUGUGUAGCCCUUGUCCAGAACUUUGAGUCCUGCAAUUAAAGUUUGAAAUCUAGAAAACAUUACCUCUACAGCUUCAUCAUCCUCCAUUUUGAAGGCUUCAUAUUUCUGAAUUAGAGCCAGAGCCUUUGUCUCUUUGACUUGAGAAUUUCCUUUGUGAGUCAUCGUCAGAGAGUCAAGUAUUUCUCUAGUUGUUUCCUUGUUGGUGAUCUUUUCAUAUUCAUUGUAGGAAAUGACAUUUAGUAGUAUCGUUCUGGCUUUGUGAUGGUUUUUGAAUUCAUGCUUCUGAUCAUCUGUCAUUCUGCUUCUGGGAAUGGCGACGCCAGCGUCAGUCACAGGCGGUGUGUAGCCGAUUAUGACUAUAUCCCAUAGAUCAGCGUCGUAGCCCAGAAAGAAACUUUCAAUUCUAUCUUUCCAAUAAUCAAAUUUUCUCCAUCAAAGAUUGGAGGUUUAGCAUUGUAACUAUCUCUUUCAUUUGUGUUGGCCAUAGUGUUUUUCUCACGCUGGAUCUCUCUACACUGUUAGGUGUUUGAUUAGAGAAUCAAUAACAGUGCCGAAGCCCUGAUACCAAUUGAAUGUAGAGAAAAACAAGAAAAAGGGGUUUGAAUUGUUUUGGAAAAUAAAACUUUAUAAGAAUUUGGACACACUCAGAAUAAAAAGAAUUUGACAUAGAAUUUAAUACUGGUUCGCUUGAAAUUCAAAGCUACUCCAGUCCACCCGACCAAGGUGAUUUCACCUUAAAAAAGGACUUAAUCCACCAAUCUUGAAAGAUUAAACAAACAACCAUCUAAGAGAAUAACCCCUUAGCCCUCUCAAGUAUUUAGACUGCACAGAGUCACUUGAGGAAGUAUCUUAGUAAUGAUAUGAUUUAUAAUGCACAGUGCUUCUAACAAUAAGAAAAUAUCACAGAAAUAUAAGAACAACAAUUUUCAUGUAAGAGCAGCAACUUGUGAAAGAGUGAAAGGAGAUGAUUGAGAGAUUUGUAUUCUUGUGUGUCUCAGGUGUAUUUUUUCUUGAGUGACAUUCCAUCCUUUAUAUAGGAGUUUGAGAGGACCGUUGGUUGAUGAUGGAAUCUUGGACAUUGAAGAAUGAUUAAUGUCAUUACUCUCCUUGUUUCUUUCCAAAACAGUUUUGGGUACGUCAUAAUUUCCUUCUAGAAAUAGUUUCUUUCUAAAUGCAGAUUUAUUCACGGUUACGUUUUCUGAGUCAGCGAAUCCUGUAUUCAGAGUCUUGUUUUGCAAUGUUCGUCUUUAGAGGGUACUUCUAUCUGAUUGAAUCAGAGUUUCUCUUAAAUCUUGACGUCUUCAGAUUGUGCGUCUUCAGAGUCUGUAUUUAUUCUUCUCUUUCAGAGUUUCUGUCUUCUUUCGUUUUACUAGCUCCUGUGUUAGAGUCAAAACCUUCUGGUCAUGUAUCCUCUGAGUAGCAUCUAACGCUGGAUUAUUGUCGCACCUCGAAAAAAAUGCGAUCCCUCACGAUGGUCGCGGAAAAAUGUUAGUUCGAACAGAGUCACCACCAAACUUUAUUUAUUCCAAUGAAGGAAUAGGAAAAUAUCGAUAAAACCUUUAAUAAAAUAGAAUAAUGGUCGUCGCAACCAUAUUCGGGUUCGGGAGUCGAUUACGCAAGGUGAAGGUAUUAGCACCCCUCACGUCCGUUGUACUCAAAGGGAACCUCUUAGUUUAAUUUGUAAUUUGAAUGUUAACUUUUAUUGUUUGCUUUCUUCGAAUGAUAAAAAGAUUGAAAAAAGAUGGAUGCAAACCUCAGAAGGGGGAAAAGGGAGGUUUUUUAUUAGUGUGCUCGCGAAGAUACAUCAAUCUCCUACCUACGUAUCCUUAUGGUGCAAUAAGGAAAUGAGAGCAUUCAUAGUUCGGGAAACUACGAUUGGUUGAUGUUUUUUAUGAACAACUGUGUAGAUCGCGUUCUAAAGGCUAAACGCUGGCUGGUCUACUCUCGGCGGAGGCUGAAGCACUAGUUUAUUGUGCGUAUUAGAAAGGAUUAACAGUGUUCUUUUUUGAAGAAGGGUUCUGGUCACGCGGGUUUGACAAGUCAAAUUGAUAUGUUUGAUGUUUUUGGAUUGAUUUUGAUCGCACGUGGGCGAGAAAAAGAUGUGUUUAGAUAUUUUUGGUUGGAUGACGAUUAUUCGGAUAGUCGAGUAAGACAACUUGUAUCCUAAUAAUCGAGGAGAGGAAUCGAAGGCUCUAGACCAUCUCCCAUUUCAUACUUAAUUGUGAAAGGAUUUAAUAAUAGUUAAGGUAUUUUAAAUGGAUGAUAAUUGCUCGGACAGUCGAGUAAGAUAACUCGUAUCCUAACAGUCGGGAAAGGGAAUAGAAGACUCUAGACCACUUUCUUUUUCACCUUAGUGAUUAUGAAAAUAAGUUUGUGUAUGAUUGAUGUGUUUUAGAAUAGACGACAAGUACUUGAAUGGCUGAGUAAAACAACUCAUAUUCAAGCAUUUGAGGAGAGGAAUCGAAGACUCAAGACCAUCUCCCUUUUCGUAUAGUUUGUUGUGAAAACGAUUUGAUUAAUUUAUUAAUUUAUGGAAAAAUUAAAAUUGUUUGACUAACCGAGUGAGAGAACUCGUAUUCAAACCAUUGAGGAGAGAAGUUGAAAACUCAAAGCCAUCUCCCUUUUCAUUUUGCUAUUAUGAAAAUAAUUUGAUUUAAUCUUGGUUUAAGGUUUGUAAAGAAAUGACAAUUGUCUAACUGACUGAGUAAGAAAACUCGUAUUCAAACAAUCGAGGAGAGGAGUUAAAGGCUUAAAACCACCUCCCUUUUCAUUUUAUUUAUUGUAAGAAUGUUUCAAUUUAAUUAUGCUUAAGCGGAUUAGAAAUGACGAUUAUUUGACUAACCGAGUAAGAGAACUUGUAUUCAAAUAAUCGAGGAGAGGAGUUGAAAACUCAAAACCAUCCCCAUUUUCACUUCAUUAUUAUGAAAUGUUAUUUAACCGUACUUAGGUAUGUUUAAUUUUGAAUAAAAUACUCGAUAUUGGAUCGAGGUUUGAAUUGAUGUUUAAGAUAAAUUGGAUUUUUGUUUAGUGAAUCAAUCAUCUACUCGAUUAAUUAAAAUCGAAUAGGUCUCAUUGUAAGAAAGCCCAAGAGCAAGCUAUGUGAGGUUGAUGGCGACGCUAAAAGCUAUCGACUUACAAAGGUGUUUGAAAAUGGGCUCGACUUUGAAUCGAGAAGUUUGUGGUUUAUCCUUGAAAUUGAGUGGAAUGGUUUUAAAUCGAUGAAAUUGAAAUAACUUGUCACGAUUGUAGCACACCAUACAUAUGAACUCAAGAAUUUGUACAAAUAAAUAAGUAAACACAAAAUAAUAGUGUACACAAACCUCACACAAUGAGUAAUUAUCUAAAUUAUAUUCAAAUAAUAAAUGAUGGUAAAAAUAAUAAAAGUAAUUAAUUAAAUAAUGGUAAAUUACAUAAUUGAUUUAGAAAUUAACAAUAAUGAUAAUAGGAGUUUAAUUGGUGGAUAAAAACUUUAUUUAAAUUAAGUAAAAUAACUAAUCAUGUGCUAGAAAAGAUAAAGAAAAUAAAAAAAGAAAACAGUUGGGCCUUGGGGGAAAGACCAAGCCCAAGUAGGUGCUGCCAGACUUAGCAUCAGGAGGUGCUAACAGGAAAAAUAUGAGCAUGGUGUCAUACCCCAAUUUUGUCCGGGCAUAUUUAAAUUUUCAUAGAAUUGAUUUCAUUUUUAAUCAUAUGCAUAACAUGACAUGCAUUACAUCAGGAAUAAUACCUAAAAUAUCAGUCAGAAUAAAUUUAUUGAAAAUACAAACAAAUCGGUUAAAUUAUUUCUCAAGCAUGUGCAAAAAUCAACGGGUAAAAAGUUUCAAAAUUAAAAUUACAGACACCAGUAUUAUUAAUCUACGGUUCACUUAGUUUAACCUGGCGUGCUCGUUGUAUUUUUCAGCGGCUGUUUCGGUUGCGUUUUGACCCGCCUGAGCCCUUUAACCGAUGCAAAGUUAUUUCAGAAUUUUGAAGAAAUGUCGUAUUUCUCAACUUCGUGGUUGAUAGUGAUAUUCCCAGCAUUUUCUUUACUACCAUUGCUCGCCAAGCAGAGGUUACCAUAAAAGUCUCUUAUGAGCUUCUCCCCUACAGAGCUUCUUCAGCAGAUUUCCUCCAAAAGGAAUCUUUUCUAAAAUAUCCCCCCAACAGACAUUCAUUUUUUGAGAUAUUAUUUCAUUUAUCUGAAGAAUAUCGUCUAUCUGUUUGAGAUGCUGCUUCAUCAAUAUGAAGAGUCUCAUUCCUGUUUUUCUUUUGAGAUACUGCUCUAGUAUCCUCGAAGAGUCUUAGAUUCAAUUAAGGUAUCAUUCCCUUGUUCGGAAUAUCUUGAUUCUAUCAAAUAAGAUGUUGCUUCGACUCGAUACAGAGAACCUCAUUUUUAUUGUUUGAGAUGCUGCUUCAUCAAUAUGAAGAGUCUCAUUCCAGUUUUUCUUUAGAGAUACUGCUCUAGGUAUCCUCAGAGAAUCUUAGAUACGGUUGAGGUAUCAUUCCCUUGUCAGAAUAUCUCAAGUAUAUCAUAUGGGAUACUGCGUCGUUGAUCCUCGAAGAAUCCCGUGUGUUCAAUUCAAGACACUGUUCUGCUAAUUUUCAGAAAGUCUUAGAUACGGUUGAGGUAUCAUUCCAUUACUGGAAUAUCUCGAUUAUGACAUCCAAGAUACUGUUCUGACGAUUCCCAGAGAGUCUCGACUGUUUCAUUUACCUCAUUUUACUUUUCUUACUGUAUCUCUCAUUGCAUUUUCUUUAUGCAUUUCAUCCUUGCAUCUCAAAGGACAAAAUUUGGGUCUUUUCGUAUUUAAUUACCUUCCACCACGAACGUAUGAAGACUGUCGUCAUUCUUACUUUCUAGUUCAAGAUAAUUAAAUAGGGGCAGCUGUCAUACCCCAAUUUUGUCCGAGCAUAUUUAAAUUUUCAUAGAAUUGAUUUCAUUUUUAAUCAUAUGCAUAAUAUGACAUGCAUUCCAUCAGGAAUAAUACCUAAAAUAUCAGUCAGAAUAAAUUUAUUGAAAAUACAAACAAAUCGGUUAAAUUAUUUCUCAAGCAUGUGCAAAAAUCAACGGGUAAAAAGUUUCAAAACUAAAAUUACAGACACCAGUAUUAUUAAUCUACGGUUCACGUAGUUUAACAUGGUGUGCUCGUUGUAUUUUUCAGCGGCUGUUUCGGUUGCGUUUUGACCCGCCUGAGCCCUUUAACCGAUGCAAAGUUAUUUCAGAAUUUUGAAGAAAUGUCGUAUUUUUCAAUAAGUAUAUUGUGUAUGUGCUGAUCAUUUUAGUGCAUCCGAUUUAAUUUUUUGAACACUUUUUUGCCCGAUAUUUUUAGUUGCAUUCAGUCAUUUUUAUUUUCAAAAUAAUCAAUAAAACUAAAUAAAAGUAAAUAAGCAAUCAUUUUGAGGUUAUCUUAUUUGAUUUUGAAUUUAUUCCUAAACUCUUUUUUAUUCAAACAUAGUAAUAGAAAUAAUAAUAAAAUAGGUUGGUCCAAGGAAUUAUUAAUAGCUAGCACAUUGGAUCCCUUCUAAAAUUGCCAGCUGGUACCAACGGAUAUCUCACUAAAAGACAAAAAGAAAAUUAAAAGAAAUAAAUAAUCCUCACCUAUUACUCACCCUUCACGCGAACUCCCUUCUCUCUUCCCUCACAAUCACUGCAAAUCCCUAUACCUACCUACCACACGUCUCCACUCUCUAAAAAUCCUCACAAAUCUCUCUUCUCUCUCACUUCUCUUAAAAAGAAAACAGAAAGAGAAAAGUUGUGGAGAUUUUCCUGACCGCCGCCGCACACCACCAUAAACCCUUCUUCCACCACCGUUCACCUUCAACCUUCACAACACAAACCACCAUUCAAACCCUAACCACACCGCCACCUUCUCCGUUUCACUCUCAGUCACACGACCCAUCCAAAUGCCAUCCUCACCGGUAAACCGUUGCCGUGUCUCCACACGCGAAACCACCGCGACGUCUAAACCCAACCACCGCCGACGCCCACACCAUCGUCGCGCUUCUCCGAUUCACCGACCGCGCAUCACCUUCGCAUCUACCACCACGCCUCCGUCGCCGACACACAAUAGGAGCAUCCGGCCUACACCCGAACCGCCGUCGACUUCCGAGCCUCAAUCGAACAACCUUCCAAAUAACUCCUCAUUGCUAGUGCAAAAAUGCUUGCGGCUGACUCUUUUUCACCAUCGUCAAAAGCUUGGACCAUCAUGUCAUCUCUCUUUCGUUCGGUAGAUUUCUAUUUUACUUUUGAUUGCUUUGAUUCGUGACGGGUUCGUGUGUUGUUUGUGGAUUUGUGAGACUUUGGUUAAGUUUAUUUUGAGAUUUGGAAGAAAAUGAAUUUUGUUUGAGUUUCUUGAAUGGCCAUGCGUUUUCAUUAUUUCCAUGAAACUGGAUGUUCUAUCAAGUGUUGAAAAAUGGAAUUGUUCUUUGCUUGGGUGGUGAAUAUGUGUUUAUUUUAUAUGAUACUUAUUGUUUCCCAAUGAAAAUAACAAAAAAAGUUGUUGAAGAACAUGGUGUGGGUAUUGAUAUGAAUUGGUUUUAAUAUUAAGAUGUAGAAAAAAAUAGUUUCAAUCUCAAGAGCUGACAUGAAUGGUAUUAAAACUUUUAUUGUUUGGUCUUUUUUAUAAUUGGUGUUUUUUCGUGUAGCUUGGAUUGGUGUAUCAGGUGAAUGUGCGAUGUUGUAGCAUUUCUUAUGCUAUGCAACAGUCUUAUAUUUAAUUCAGUUAGGUUGGCUUUCCAAAUAAAUAAAAUAAUGUCAAGCUUACCAUUGGAAGUAGGACAAUAUCACAGACUGUACAUGUUAGUGAAGGGAAACUUUCCUCAGUUCAUUAUGGAUGGUUAUUAUUUUAAGAUAGCUAGAUACCUAAAAACAUUGAAAAUAUCUUAAGUUUUUUUCUUUCUUACUUUAUUUUAUUUUAAUGACAAUUUCUUUUUUAAUUAGUUUAAGUUAGAUUUUGAUCCUAUUUUUUUUAUUAGCUUAUGUUAGAUUUAAUUCAGUUUAUUCCAUAUUUUGAUAAUGGAAUUUUAAGUUCA